AUUACUAUACUACUUCACUUAAAUAUUUAUUCGACACACAAAAAUAAACCAUUCGUGUGAAUGUUUCCCAAACACAUUUGGGGCCGAAGCAUUCGAGCGGGCGUACCACUCCAAUUACCUGGUACACAUAAUUGAAGACUAUAGUAUGAAAAUUAAUGUUUUAUGUUUUUGUCACCUAAAUUUUUAAUAAAAUGCAGUUGCAGUUUGGUUGUCAUUGUUCUGUUGAUCCGUUCAUUCCGCGUCCUGUAUUUGGCUAUCACAAUUUCAAUCUAUGAAAAUUUGAAAUCCGUAUGGUCAAAAUUAUAUUUUAAAACCACAUUGCUAGAGAAUAAUUAAAAAAAUAAUAAUCUUCAUGUGGAAUUUAUAGAAAUUAAUGAUAUACAUUUCAGGAAAACUUAGCAUGAAGUAUAUUAUUUUAAUGUGAUGAUUUUAGAAAUACAAACCGAGACGCGGUAUGGGAUAUGGUCCAUUACAAGUAGGCACAAUGGUCCACUAAUAAUUGUUAUUACGACAACAGAAUUAAUUGCCUAUUUAAAACGAAAUGAAUCAUCGAAGAACAUACUAGAUCUUUUUCCAAUUUACAACCAAAAAAAACAUUAUUAGGUGAGUAGUAAAAAGAUUAAGGUUAUCAGAAACUAACUGUAGUAGUAUGUUGUGUGAAAUUCUUUUGUAUUUCUUAUUAAGCCAAGGGUGCCCUUUCAAUGCAACGUGAUAAACGCCAAAAACGAUGAUAUGAACAAUUAUAAACUCGUUGAGAGCAUUGAACUCGGAUAAUAAAUCAUCUUUUAUAUACAUCGUAGAUAACAAACAAACACGUAAUUAAAUUUGACGUAUAGCAAAAGACUUGAAGAAUAAAACGUCAAGUUAAAGAUAAUUUUGGUAUAUAUGAGAAAGGUAUCGACAAAAACCAUAACGCUAUAGAUGAUUGUGAUUUGACAAAAACACCCUCAAAUCAUUGUUUUCAGAGUUUUUUUAGAUAAGGUACAGAUAAGAAACCACCUCUAAAAAUCAAGCAAUAGAUCUCAUCGCUUAAAAGAAGAGAGAGAUCUUCACUUGUAUGUGUCCCACUGAUUCCAACACAAUGUCCCAGAACUUGCCACGUGUCGUUCAUUUCAAAAGAUUGCAGUACUGUUGUCCCUAGAGAAUCAUUAUCUCCCUCGCUGUAAUAUCUUUAUGCUCCUGUCACUUUCUGUCUGUACCCAAAAGAAGUAAUGAACCUCUCUCAUCUUCUUCUUCUCUGUUUCUUUCAUGUUUUGUGAGUUGUUUCUCAACAAUUUUCUGGUCUCUUAGAGUGAGAGGAGAGAGAUAGAGAGUUGUGUUGGGCGUGGAACUUGGACUAGUUCCACAUAUCAGGUUAUAUAGAUCUUCUCUUUCAACUUCUGAUUCGUCCAGAAGCUUUCCUAAUCUGGUCAGUAGUACUCUUUUUAUACGGGUUUUUGGUUUUAUAAGAUGUGGCUAUAUUUGGAAAUAACUAUUUUGCAAGCUUUCCUAGAUUGCCAGAAUAUAAAAAAAGAUGUUUAACAAGAGAACGGACUCAUGGACUUGCUUUAAAUUUUAAUUAUUUUAAAAUCAUUCUAUAAUGAUUAGAGUAAAUAAACUAUUAGGACUCUGAAUUAUAAAAUUCGAUUUUAUAUAUGCUCCUCCUUGUAUCUCUUAAUCAUAAGUUAUCAUUAGCUCUGUUCACUAGUGCUAUAAAAUAUAUUCUGAGGUUAAUAAAACUUUUUUUUCUUUUUAUUUUGAAAUGUCUCCAGAGAUCUGACAUGGAACACCAAGGUUGGAGUUUUGAGGAGAAUUAUAGUUUGUCCACUAAUAGAAGAUCUAUCAGGUAUUAUUUAAUAAUCUUUGAUCUAAUGUUUUCAUUCAUUAAAAAAAAAACUUUAUAAUAUAGUCUGUGUGUGUGUGUAUUGAUGUCUAGGCCACAAGAUGAACUAGUGGAGUUAUUAUGGCGAGAUGGACAAGUGGUUCUGCAGAGCCAAACUCAUAGAGAACAAACCCAAACCCAGAAACAAGAUCAUCAUGAAGAAGCCCUAAGAUCCAGCACCUUUCUUGAAGAUCAAGAAACUGUCUCUUGGAUCCAAUACCCUCCAGAUGAAGACCCAUUCGAACCCGACGACUUCUCCUCCCACUUCUUCUCAACCAUGGAUCCCCUCCAGAGACCAACCUCAGAGACGGUUAAGCCUAAGUCCAGUCCUGAACCUCCUCAAGUCAUGGUUAAGCCUAAGGCCUGUCCUGACCCUCCUCCUCAAGUCAUGCCUCCUCCAAAAUUUAGGUUAACAAAUUCAUCAUCGGGGAUUAGGGAAACAGAAAUGGAACAGUACUCGGUAACGACCGUUGGACCUAGCCAUUGCGGAAGCAACCCAUCACAGAACGAUCUCGAUGUCUCAAUGAGUCAUGAUCGAAGCAAAAACAUAGAAGAAAAGCUUAAUCCGAACGCAAGUUCCUCAUCAGGUGGCUCCUCUGGUUGCAGCUUUGGCAAAGAUAUCAAAGAAAUGGCUAGUGGAAGAUGCAUCACAACCGACCGUAAGAGAAAACGUAUAAAUCACACUGACGAAUCUGUAUCUCUAUCAGAUGUAUGCUUCCUUUAAUUCUAACUCAUGAUAAUUACUUCUUGAAAACGUAAUCUUGGUCUAUCUCAGAGAGUAAUACAUAAUACAUUUUGCAGGCAAUCGGUAACAAGUCGAACCAACGAUCAGGAUCAAACCGAAGGAGUCGAGCAGCUGAAGUUCAUAAUCUCUCCGAAAGGGUACUUCAUCGGUUCGUCUAUAUAAUAUAUAAUAUAUAGUUUAAUGUUAGAGAAUCGUAUAACAUUUAUACAAAGAAAACAGAUACAAAACUCUGUUUUUUAUUUUCUUCUUUUCAUAACUUAAAUAGAGGAGGAGAGAUAGGAUCAAUGAGAGAAUGAAGGCUUUGCAAGAACUAAUACCUCACUGCAGUAAAGUGAGUUGAUACAAAUCAAAUCUAAAAGUGAAUCAGAUUAAGAAAUGAAGAUUGAUUCAUUCAUUGGUGUGUUUUUGCAGACUGAUAAAGCUUCGAUUUUAGACGAAGCCAUAGAUUAUUUGAAAUCACUUCAGUUACAGCUUCAAGUGAUGUGGAUGGGGAGUGGAAUGGCGGCGGCGGCGGCUUCGGCUCCGAUGAUGUUCCCCGGAGUUCAACCUCAGCAGUUCAUACGUCAGAUACAGAGCCCGGUACAGUUACCUCGAUUUCCGGUUAUGGAUCAGUCUGCAAUUCAGAACAAUCCCGGUUUAGUUUGCCAAAACCCGGUACAAAACCAGAUCAUCUCCGACCGGUUUGCUAGAUACAUCGGUGGGUUCCCACACAUGCAGGCCGCGACUCAGGUAAGGCCAAUACGAAGCCGUGUUUAUUAAACGACGAUUUUGGUAAAAUGUUUUUUGGGUUUACUACAUUAAUACGAGAUAAGAAAAAAUGUUAAACCGACGUAGUUUUAGUUGACACGUUGUGUGGUUUUUUAUUAGAUGCAGCCGAUGGAGAUGUUGAGAUUUAGUUCACCGGCGGGACAGCAAAGUCAACAACCGUCGUCUGUGCCGACGAAGACCACCGACGGUUCUCGUUUGGACCACUAGGUUGGUGAGCCACUUUUUUACUUCCUUAUUUUUGGUAUGUUUCUUUUUUAUAUCUAUCUUUCUGAACAUACUUAAAACGUUCAAGGAUGUAUUAUUAUAGAGUAAACGUGCAACUUCAUUACGUUAUUUUCUGUAUAUGUGAGUUUAUGUAUGUCAAAAUGACAUGAUGAGAUUUUUUGUAAACAACAUCUUAAAAACAGGACAUGUGAUUUUUGUAAUCGUAAAAACUUUGGGAUGCAGUUUAUUUUCUAAUCAAAACAAGGAUAUAUCUAAGUAAUCGAAAUUUUUUUCGAAAAUAGAACUAGAUGACACUUAUAGAUUAUAGAUCACACCUAAUUUUGAAGAUGUAUCUAAAAGUCCAUUCAAUUUUUCUCUGUUCCCCUAAUAAGAAAUCAUAUGUUCAUAUUCAAAAAAUAAGAAACACAAAAAAAAACUUUAAGAAAAACACAGAUGAUCAACCGUCUGGCUAGAGUUUGGUAAAAUAUUAAUAUCUUAUGAUUUCAUAUUGUUCCAUAAAUAAAUAAAAAAUCAUAACAUAAGCUUUUCUUGCUGAUUGUCUAAAAUUAUGUAUAGAUGGAAAAAGCCAAAUCACAUGUGAUGGAGCCAGAUUUGAGUGAGAGUCAUGUGUCAAUUGUCAAAAACAUCGACAUUAUAAGUCUUUAAGCCAUGUGCAUACUGGUCAGAAUCUAUUUAGCAAUAAUUGAGUUAAAUAUCUUAGAUAUUUUUGCAUACUGUUUUCAUAUAUAAAUUUAUUCCAAAGUUUGAAAUAGUCGAUCGAAAACACUUAACAAUAGUAAAAGUUGAACCGAUCAAAGGUUGGAUACAUACAUUCAGACAGAGACACCCAUAUCAUCAAUCAUGUUUCAAUCUUCGUGGAACAUCCACAUAACAUUAUUUUAGUGGCAAAAUAAAAAAUGUGUUAAAUAUCACUAGAAAUACAAAAAAAUAAAAAUAAUAUAUAAUAUAUGCUUCAUCAAUAGGUGUCUGGUCUUCAAAUCAUGUAAAUCAUAUACUAUUAAAUUAAAAUGCUAAGAUGAGUUUCUUCCAUUUCAUUCAAGAUUUGGUUUGGAGCAGGAGUAGUUCACGGAUAUGAUUUUAGUGGAUUGUUUAUAAUCGUGACUUUUGUUUUGUGUUUGAUCGACUUGAUCGACCCGGCCAACUUAUGAUCUUCCGUAAACUAAAGUCAAAAGCAAUAAUAUUUCUUUCUUUUUUUGUAUGAAAAAAGCAAUGAUAUUUCACUGAUCUCUACGGAGUAAAAUCUCUUUCUUGGACUUCAUUUGGCAUAGAUUCUUUUAGUUCGUUUCACAUUCUCUUUCAGUACCAGAGAUUUCUUCUGUAUGUUUUAAAUCUUGGUCAUACCGUCUUUACAGCACUAGCCUCUAGUAUCACAAUAGAUAAUGAUUUUCUAAUACCAAAACCAUAUAGUCACUCAUCUGGACUAGAUAGAUUUUGAAGUCCUCUAGUUUCUAUGUAGUGAGAUCCUCCAUUCAUUUCUCUUGACUUUCGUGAGGUUUGAGAAUCCAGUCAUGUAACCCAUAGCAAAUGAUUCGACAACUGUAUUACCCAAUGUCACCAUCUCAAAUAAAGAAGAGAAAUAGGAUUAUAGGAAUACUGAUCUUCCAUGUGAUCUAAUUUUGUAUAUAUCGCACACUUAUCAAAAUCCAUUGUAAAUUGUAGUUUUUUGCUUGAAAAGAAACGCAAAUAGUAUCAGCAGAAAAAAGCUACACAAAUAGUACCACCACUUUUUUGUUUAUCUUUAGAAAAACAUUUUUAUUACUAUCCACACAAAAAACUACUAAGAAAGUUAUAACAUCAUGUCAAUAAUUCAAAAUCAUUAUCAAUGUCAAAAAAAUAUUAGCUUUAACAAUAACUAAACUCAGCCAUCAAGCCCAGAUAAUUGUAUUUAAGUAUUUGAGUUUUUAAAUUGCAUUUGAGUAAUUUACUCGUAAAUCAUAGCUCAUGGAAUUAAACUAAAAAUUUCUUAAAAAAAGGAUAAAAAUCCAGUAAACGUUGGAAUUUUAUGGUAAAAGUUCGUCUUCAAUUCUUACGAAACUCAUCAUAGCUAUCAAUAUCAUACCUAUUAAAAUCAUUAGAAUCGUCUAGAAACCUUUUUUAAAAGAAUUUACAUCGUCAGGUCUUAAGAAACAAAAUAUUUAUUAUUUACCAGAUACAGACAUAAAAGCUGACGUGUUGACAUUUUAAUUUGAUGGAAAACGUAUAAAUGCACGACACGUGCUCCUACUGGACCACUUGAUAAGUUACGUAACUUAUCAAGCUUACCGAAACGAACACGUGAUAACAGAGAACUAAAUUCACAAUUUUUGUUAUUGAUAAAAGAAAAUAUUUAAAUUUUGAAAAAGUAAUAUUAACAUAUACUAGAAGCUAUAUAAUUAGCAAAUAAUAUAGAAAUGAACUACUUAUCUAAUUUUAGUUCUAAAUUAUUUACCAAUAAUUUGUUCAUAUCUUGAAAUUGUUAAUUGUAUAUCUUAAAUCUUUGACUGAAUUUAACUCUUUUAAUAUUAAAAUAAUUAAAUAAUUAAUCUUAAGGUAUUUAAUAAAUAAAAAUUACUAAAAAAACUACAAUAAAAGAUCUAUAUCCAAUAAGAAAAUUAAUAAUUAUAUUGAUAAUUAGGGAGCAUAUGCGUUAUUAUAAAUUACAACCUAACCUACUUUACCGACCCAAAGCCUAAAAAAUCCGACCUUUUUUUGUUUUCUCUCUCUAGAAGUCUCUCUGUUUUCAUCUUUCUCUCUCUCUCUCUAGCUCUUCUUCCUCGUUUCUGGCUUUUCUGGGAAUUUUGAUCCUUUGGCCCCCAUUGCUCGCUUGAAUUACGAAUCAGAUAUCGCCGAUCGUCGUAGAUCUGCGUUGAUACUGUCCGGCUGAGUAAACAGGGUGAACAAAAACCAAAAACAGAGAGGGGGUUUAAAAAUCCUGAAGAAAAUCGCAUGAAUUUGUUUGGAAGCCUGAUUUUUUCAUCUUCGAUUUCGAGCCACUUCACGACUUGUCUUCUCAUCUUUAUUCUUCAUUUCUCUCCCCAGCUUAAUAGUAAUAAUAAUAAUAAUAAUAGUAAUCGUAAUUCCAAUAAUCUCGAGAGUAAUCGUUUGAUCAAUUGAAAAAAAAAUCAUGGAGUCCAGGAAAAACUCUGAUCGUCAAAUGCGUAGAGGUACUGUUUUCUUCAACCUCCAUCGAAAAGUCUGUUACUUUUUUGUGAAAUCGCUUACGGAUUGUUAUCGUUGAUGUAUAGGAAGGAUCUAGGGUUCUUACUCUAGAUUAUAAUCUGGGUAAUUUGGUUUAUCAAACAAAAUUUGAUUUUUUUUUUAAUGGGUCCUCAAUUUUAUCCCUCGUGCUGAAUUCUCUGUCGGUGAUUUGAUUCCUUCGUGGCGUUUACUUGUUUGGAUGUAUCUGCUGAUUGCCACAAGUUUUGUUUUUGUGGGGUUGUUUAAUUCUGAUAAUCACUAUUGUUUCUUUGUUAGAAGAAUUGAUACUUUAUUGGACUUUGGACGGUCGUUAAUUCGUGUGCUUUGUUUUCAUAUAGCUAAUUGCUUUUCAGCUGGUGAGAGGAUGAAGACAAGGUCGCCCUCCGUGAUUGUGAUCGGAGGUGGUUUCGGUGGGAUUUCAGCUGCUCGCACUCUUCAGGAUGCUUCCUUUCAGGUUUGUGAUGUUUCAUGUUUUAUACAAUAUAUCCUGAUAGCUGAUUUUGAUAUCUCUUUCUCACGGUGUGGUUCUUGGUGUUUAGGUUAUGGUACUGGAGUCCCGUGACAGAAUUGGUGGACGAGUUCACACUGAUUACUCAUUUGGUUUUCCUGUUGAUCUUGGUGCAUCAUGGUAAUCUCACGGCUCUUUCAUCCUGUCAUUAGAUGAUGUUUUGGUUUUGGUUUUUGGUUAACUUUAGGCUAACACAGCAACAUCGUUAUGUCACAGGCUGCAUGGAGUAUGCAAGGAGAAUCCUCUCGCACCAGUUAUUGGAAGACUUGGACUGCCCUUGUAUCGUACUAGCGGUGACAAUUCCGUCCUGUAUGAUCAUGAUCUCGAGAGGUUUGCUUGAAUAUUUCGAUUUUGUUACCUCCAUCUUUUUAUUCUUGUUUGACACCUUAAAACUCACAGUGCAAUUCUUUUGUUUCUGUAGCUAUGCUCUGUUUGAUAUGGAUGGCAACCAAGUUCCUCAAGAAUUGGUAACUCAGAUUGGCGUAACGUUUGAGCGUAUUUUGGAAGAGGUAUGUCCUUCACAUUCAUUUAGAUUUCUUCUUUAUUCCUAUUCUCGUAUUUCUUGAUGUUGCAAGUCUUUGAUUGAUGCUCAUGCUAACUAGAUUCGUCUAUUGCAAACACAGAUCAAUAAAGUCAGGGAUGAGCAGGAUGCUGACAUUUCAAUUUCUCAGGCUUUCUCAAUUGUCUUUUCUAGGAAACCCGAGCUGAGGUUUGUAUACAUAAUGUCUCAUUUUCUCAAUUUCUUUAGGCAAUGCACUUUUGCAAGCUUGGUUUCAUGGUUGAAUUUUGAAUUUUCACAUCCAGGUUAGAGGGGCUUGCACACAACGUACUUCAAUGGUAUGUAUGCCGCAUGGAAGGAUGGUUUGCCGCAGAUGCUGAAACCAUCUCUGCAAAGUGUUGGGACCAGGUUAGUUACAUUCUUUCUCUCGUAGUUAAGAGUUUUUUUUGUAUAGACUGCUUCUUGAAUUUUUGGUUUAACACUCCGAGAAAUGUGCAGGAGGAAUUGUUGCCUGGUGGACACGGUCUUAUGGUUAGAGGGUAUCGUCCUGUCAUCAAUACUCUGGCGAAAGGUCUUGAUAUCCGAGUAGGCCACAGGUAAGCUUUUGCGUUUUUCAAGAGUUAUGGCAUUCGUUUAGUGUUUCACAGUCAUAACCUCGUGUUUCUCCUUCUCUCAGGGUUACUAAGAUUGUCAGGCGGUACAAUGGAGUGAAGGUAACGACAGAAAACGGGCAAACUUUUGUUGCGGAUGCUGCAGUCAUUGCUGUCCCUCUUGGAGUUUUAAAAUCGGGAACCAUAAAGUUCGAACCUAAGCUACCUGAGUGGAAACAAGAAGCAAUCAACGACCUAGGAGUAGGUAUUGAGAACAAGAUCAUACUACAUUUUGAGAAAGUCUUUUGGCCGAAAGUAGAGUUUCUAGGAGUGGUAGCUGAAACCUCCUACGGUUGCAGUUAUUUUUUGAACCUGCACAAGGCCACGGGUCAUCCGGUUCUGGUUUACAUGCCGGCUGGUCAGCUUGCCAAAGACAUUGAGAAAAUGUCUGAUGAAGCAGCUGCAAAUUUCGCCGUCUUGCAACUCCAGAGAAUUCUUCCCGAUGCAUUGCCUCCGGUACAGUAUCUCGUGUCGAGGUGGGGAUCUGAUGUGAAUUCAAUGGGAUCUUAUAGCUAUGAUAUCGUGGGCAAACCUCAUGAUCUCUACGAGAGGCUUAGGGUUCCAGUGGAUAACUUAUUCUUUGCCGGUGAAGCGACGAGCUCGAGCUUCCCGGGCUCGGUUCACGGCGCUUAUUCAACUGGAUUGAUGGCAGCUGAAGAUUGUAGGAUGCGAGUUCUGGAGCGGUAUGGUGAGUUGGAUCUGUUCCAGCCUGUGAUGGGCGAGGAAGGACCUGCCUCUGUACCUCUUCUUAUAUCUCGUCUCUAAACUCCAUCAGUUAUCGUUUACUAGAAGGAACCUCAAGUGAUGAUUGUCUUAAUAUGAAACUAAAAUUAUUCUCGUGUCGGAUCGUUUAAAACAUUCCCAGUCUUAUUUUCUCAGUGUUUUUAAUUCAAUAAAUUGGAACAUUAUAUCCUUGUGAUAUUAUUUAUAUAUGAUAAUCAUCUUUAAGAAUUCAAGUACUAUUUUCUUUUCUCACUUGUGCUAACUAAUAUAAACACCAAUCUUGAAAGAGGUUAAAUUGAAUACAAUAAGAAGAAAAAAUACAAAAUGAAUAAAAUCAGAUUUAAAGGACCGAUGUUGCAAAAGGUAAACCACCGUGUUUUGUAAAUAUGAGUAUCUUCAGCGGUAUAAUAAUAAAUUUCAUAACUGGAGAAGAAGAUAAGAGUGUGGCACAGAGCUUUAUCCUCUCUCAGAGUUUCUUCUCCUCUGUGAAUCUCCGACAAUGGCGAUAGCUAUGGCGGUUGUUUCUUUCCCAUCUCUGCUCAACAAAACAACCUUAUCCUCUUCACUCUUCACUCCCACUUUCCUCCCGGCGAAAUCCUCUUCACUUCUCAUCAAAUCAUCACCAAAAACCAGAUUCGUGGUUUCAUCAUCCAUGGAAGCUGGAAUCGGAGUAAUGGGGUCAAAACUCGGGAUGAUGAGUUUCUUCGAAGAAGACGGCACAGUAGUUCCAGUAACAGUCGUCGGAUUCCGCGAAGGUAACAUCGUAACCCAAAUCAAAACCCUAGCCACAGACGGUUACGACGCGGUUCAAAUCGGUUACCGUCGUGUACGCGACAAAAAGCUAACUAAACCGGAAACCGGUCAUCUCCAAAAAGCCGGUACAAUCCCAAUGAGACAUCUCCAAGAGUUCAGAUUAACAAACAUCGAAGGAUUCGAACCGAACCAGAAGCUUGUGUUCGAUGAGAUAUUCAAAGAAGGUGAUCUCGUUGAUGUAGCUGGAACCACAAUUGGUAAAGGGUUUCAAGGAGGAAUCAAAAGGCAUCAUUUCAAGAGAGGUCAGAUGACUCAUGGUUCCAAGAGUCAUCGAGCUUUGGGUUCGAUUGGUGCUGGUACUACUCCGGGAAGAGUUUAUAAAGGGAAGAAGAUGCCUGGAAGAAUGGGAGGGACGAGGACAAAGAUUAGGAAGCUUAAGAUUGUUAAAGUUGAUAAGGAGCUUAAUGUUGUCAUGAUCAAAGGUGCUUUGCCUGGUAAGCCUGGGAAUCUUCUUCGUAUUACUCCCGCUAAAAUCGUCGGAGUUAACAUUCCCAAGAACUAGUAGAGAAGAGACUCUGUUUUGUUUUGUAAUGUUGACUUGUGUUUAUCCAUUCCUUGAAAAUUUGUAUCGAAUUGCUAAAUCACAGUUUCUUUCUUAGAAUUGGAGUUUUUGUAUAAGUCGGAAGUAUUUCUAUGCUAAUGUUCUUGAAUUGUGAUUCAACUGCGAUUACAAAACUCGAAAGCGUAUCCAAAAUUCAGCAUCUAAAGUUCUAAACAUAAAGAACUAACGAACAAUGUAAUAUAUAUUUAGUUUGAAGAAAUUAAGAAGGUUUAAAAUUGUACAUGAGAUGACAGACAAAAAAUGAACAUAUGAAUAUAAAUCUUUAUGAUGGAUUUUUAAAGAAUGGUUGAGAAGCUUUCAAUAGGAUCAGACUCUUCAAGCAUAGAAGCAGCUUGGAAGCAAUCAGUAGCAUCAGCUAUACGUCCAUCAGAUUUAUGAACCAUUCCUAAGUAAUACCAAGCUUUUCGGUUUGUUGGAUCGAUCCUCAAUGCAUCAGAGAGCAAACUUCUAGCCACGGGGAGAGUUGGCUGAUGAUCUUUCCCUCUUUCGGACAAUAACGCUCCAACCGCUACUUUGCAAGGAACCGAUGAUCCGUCUAGUAAUAAACCGUCCAAGAAAGCUGCUAGCGCGGGUUUGAACUCCUUUCGUCCUUCCCACAUUCGACCUGAUCAUUCCCAAAGAUUCAAACCAAAUUUGAGUAAAUCAAGUAAUGGAUGAUUCUAAGAGAUUAGUUAAAUGGCUUCUUGUUCUUGCCUUCUGUAUGCAACAUUGAAGCAGAGUAUUGUUUCAGCUCUCCGGCUUUUUUCAGACAGACUUCUACGUCGUUCCAAUGCGAAAGGCUUGAGUAAAGAUAAGCCAAGCCAUGCCACACUUCAAACUCAUUCACUUUGUCUUCCUCCAUCUGUGUUAUUGUACAAGUUCUUCAAUAAAAAAAAAAAAAGGUUUUGAUUGAUGAUCUCAAUAGAUUAGAGAACAAAAGAGAUUUUGAAACCUGAGAAAGAGUUCUGAGAGGUCCGAAAGAUUUCCUUUGCGCUUGAACCAAUGCAAGAAGGUAACGAUAAGUCUCAACGGCUUCUGUUGGAUUUGACUGAGAGAUUUUCAGCUUUGCUUUGAGUCUCAAGAGAGGUCCCUGAUCCCACUUUGCAGUUUCAUCUAAAGCAGCAUCAGUCACAACUUCUGCUUCUGAAAACCGUUGUUGAGCUGACAAAACAAGCGCGAGAAAUCUCCAUCCUUUUAACACUGACCCUCCCGUUGCAUCGAUGAACUCUUUGGCGUAACGGGAAGCAGCUUUUAAGUUCCGUUGCUCAGCGUAUUGAACACCUAACUCAAAGAUCAAAUCAGGAUUAUUGUGCUCAAAAGCUAUAGCUCCAUCUAAUGCUUUCAAUGAUUCUGAUUGCAGCCGAGAUCUUUCAAAAUCCGAUGUCGGAACCUUCGCUUGUUUCCCUAAACAAAGUCCUAACAUCCUCAAACCAACGCCUUUCAAAUGCUCAUCCAUACCUUGAGCAUUGUUUAUCGCUCUCUGCGCAUAACCCGUACCUUCAGCAGCUAAAGAAGGCUCUUCACUGCAAAGCUUAGCAGCUAACAAAAGCGCCACAAGAUCAUCGGGUUGUUCGUGUUUAUGCAGAGACUUUCUAAGAAGGUUAACUGCAGCACUGUUUUGACCUGCUGCACUAUAAGAAAGAGCCAAAGUGUUCCAACGCUCAAUACGGCUAAACACACCAGGCAUUACUUCUUCAAGCUGCUUGGCGAGAACCGCGGUCUGACUACAUAAAGAUAACGCAAAGGUAAGGUGCUCAAACACAGACGGAUCCCAUUUCGCUUUCCCGAGGUUAAACUUCUUUAAAAGAAUCAUUAGAAGAAGAAUGGCUUCUUCUAUGUUGUUUCUAGGUAUGUACGAUCCCUCUAUCUGAGAACCUAAACUCGGUGGACUCGCUUCGACUCCAGAAUGUAAAAGAAAGACUGCAAAAUCUUUUUGAAUCCUUGCACAACAAUCAUUAUCAAGAUUCCAUUGGCUUAAAAGCGCGCGUCUAUAAGCAGAUAUGGCUUCUUGAUAAUCACCAGAUUCUUUCCAUAGCGCAGGAAGUAGUUCAACGGCGUGGCUAACGGUUUCUUGAAGUUUGUUAUCCACUUGAGCAUCUGGUAUCCCUUGCUGAAAUAUCUUCUCAACAGAAUCAAGAACACUCUUGCAUUCAUGAGCAGCCUCUACAAGACCAAAACCCAGCAAGGGAAGAUUUAGAUUUAAAGACUGUACCAAGAUCAAUGCCUCAGAUUCACAUUUUCAAAGGUGAAAGGGAAUGAUACCAGUUAUUCUCCCAAGCUUUUGAAGGGAUUUGGCUUUCAAGUAGAUAGCUUCAAGGACCAAGUUAGCAGCAUGCUGAGAAACUGAUUGCUGCGGUUCACGGGGACGGUUUUUCUUAGUAGCCGGUUUCUCAAGAGGCACGGAAACCUGUAACCGCUGGAUAGCUGCUUGAAGGUCGAUACCUUCAAAGACACGAAGUGCGCCUUCUAAAUUCCCUCUUUGGUAUUCCAAUCUUCCAAGAAGUGCUCUUGCUUCCUGUAACCACAAAAACAAAUAAAAUCUAAUCAUUUACUUAUAAAAGUUGGUUUAAUGGAGUUUGGAAAACCACAAAAACAAACCUCGAAAUUGAGAGAUAAUCCUUCUCUCAAAGAAGAUUCAGCUUCUUGAAUAUUUCCUUCAUCAAGCUUUGCUUCAACUUCAGUUGUUUUCAUGCAAAUCCCAUUAGCACAAAGCUGUCUGACGAUCUCAUCUUCCCCCUUCUCACUAAAAUCCGCGGAUUGAUUCCCGAGCAUUGUUCUUCACCUUUUAGACUAAACCCACAUCAAAAUUUCUGCGUCCAUCCAAACAUCAAUCCACCGUAACUAGCAGCAACUGCAUCACUUGGCACAAUAAAUAAAACCGUGAGAAACCAAAAUAUAUGACAUGAUUUAAGUCAACGCAAGCUCACAAUCAAAAACAUUGUAAAGAGAAGAACAGCAACAUUUUUCUUCAGACAAAAUCCAAGAAUUGAAAUCAUUGUCUUAAAAAGGACCCACCAAAAAAAUAGAAGCUUCAAAGACAAAAAGAAAUCUUCAACUUUGUCAUCUUUCUAACUUUUUUUUCUGCUUUUUUUUUUUUUUUCACUUAGAGGAAUCAUUAUAACCUUAAACAAUUCGAGACUACAUUCCUUUGAUCUGUUCAUCGUCACAUCAGCUAAAUAGAUUACAUGAUAAAUGAAUUUUCUAAUUCUUGUUUUGAAAUCAAAGAAGAACAAUGUUUGUUCCAAAAUUCAGCAAAAAUGUGGGUCCUUAUUAAGAACAAAUCUGUCAACGCCAUUACUUUUGUAAGUCAUAGAUUUCAAAACAAUGAUGAAAUUGAACCUCGCAUCGUUUCGAUCAGAAAAAUCAAAAAGCCAAUUUCGGAAAAAUGAAUCUAACGUACCUACGAUCAUCGGCUUCAUGUUCUUCAGACAGCCGAUCGAAUAAAGUACGCGAAGAAGAAGAAGCUGCACUGACGAAUUUCGCGGCGACAAUUCGGAUCUGAAGAAGAUGAAAGAAACUUUAAAAAAUUAGAAAAAGAGAGGAAACUUUUUGUUUUUGAUCUCUCUUUGUUUUUUUUAUAUUUAUAAUAAGAAUGUGUUUUAAAAAAAAAGAAGCAAAACGGAGUCUUAGGAGCCGUACGUGCUUCCGAUGUUGCAGAACGUGAACGGGGAGAGAAAUAGAAACACCUGUUUUGUCUUCAAAGUUCAAACUCUCUUUCUGUAAUUUUCAGUGUUUCUCAAGGCUAUUACUGUCAUUUCAUCGGUUACGAACUAAAAGAGGCUUUAACGCCAUCACACACAAUUCACAAGCCAAUAGCAGUUUCACUAAUUUCAUUCGGUGUGGCUCGAUAGAAGAAGGUAGUAGAAGAGAAGAGCCUAAAUGAAUUUUAGUUUAAAUUGGGCUUUUAAAUAUUUUCGGCCCAAACUUAUUUAGUGUCCCAAAUAAGUUUGGUAUUUUUAUUAUCGAAAGUGUUCAUACUAUUUUAAAAUUCUAAUAUGUAUAGCUUGGAGUAUUAUUGAUUCUGGAGUUUGAGUGACUUUAGCAUCUUAUUACUAAAUAAUACUAGUAUAACAACAAAAGCGUUAGAUGGCAUUUACACUUGUAAGAUAAUUUAAAUCAUAUUCAAACCCCUUAAGACUCUUUUAGAAAUACAAAAAUGAGAAGAGUUUUAAUGACUUUAAAAUUUCCACUUAAUGAUACUAGUAUAGCAACAAAAGCGUUAGGUGACGUAUACAUUUCGACGACGAUUCAAAUCAAUCAUAUUCAAACCCCUUAACCCAAAUUAUACUUUUCUUUCUUUUCUUAUAUUUUAUUUAUUUUUAAACAAAAUUUUAAACCCCGAAAAUUAAGUUUGGGCAUUUUCUUUUAUAACAAUAAUCUCAAUUUAAUAGGGAAAAAUAAUUGAAAAUAUGUAGCUAGCUAGAUUUCCCCACACCCAUAGGUAAUUGUUACAAAAGGUGCAUGCAAGGUAAGGACCUCUAGCAUUCGAAUAAUUUGCAAGCUUUCAAUAUUCCUCUUUUCUUAAAAAUUAGCUUGGAUUAUUAUUCAUAUACUUAUCACAUUGAAAUGUGCAAGCUUGAUUUUUGUUAUUAAUAGAAAAUUAAUUAACUCAAAGUACAUAAUAAAUAUGUUGAUUGAGUACUCAAAUCACUGAUGGUCUGUCCUUUUCAUUCUCCUUUGGCGUUGGGAAACAUCUAAAGCUUAAACGUAAGGCCUUCAAUGAUUUGUCCCAAUUCAAAAUUAUCAAAGUUAGUUCUUACGUAUAGUCAAUCAUCAAAUCAUUUGUAAUUGUAUAAUUAUAAUUGAUAUCUAUCAAAAAUAAAUCAUUAAGACUUAAGAGUUAUGUGUUUAUUUAGACACAUGAUAAGACUAAAUCCGAAAUAGAUUACUUAUUUGUUCUUCAAUAUAGAUCAAUUAGCUUGAAUUAUUUGUAGUAUUAUACAGGUACAUUAUUGACUGAAUUAGUUGUGCAUGCAUUUAUUAGACAAGACCUUGACCUAUUGGCUUAGCAAUUAUAAAUCUAGAUAAUAUAUAGAUAUAAUGUAUUAAUGUCUAAUUAAGUCAAUUCGUAUAAGCUAAGAGGUAUGAGUUUAGUGGCAUCCUUAUCAAACAAUUAUCGAAAACAACUAUCUUAAUAUUAAUAAUGUUUAUUUAUUCAUACUAGGCCCUAACUCAUACAAGUCAGACACUCGACUCAUACUGCAUAACAGCAUAAGUAUUAAUUUGGAGAUUCUAGCAAUAACAGUGUUUUAACUUUUAAAGGAACAGAAUACACAAAUGUUUUUCUUUGACCCCGAGGCUGCCAAGUGGGUGAGGAGUAGUGACGUCGCGUCGUUGAAUUUUCUUUGAGCAGUACAAACUACAAACAAACAAGAUGGAUCCCAUUUUGUUUGUCCGUUUUAAGUUUGGCGGUAUCAUUAUCCAUGCACAAAUCAAAAUCACGCAACUUUUUUUAUAAUUAAUUUUCCAUAAUAAUUAACGAUGAAACAUAUUUUCCAAGAAAUAAUGUAACGUUAAAUUAAGCAGGUACAUAUUUUGUAAAAAAAAGUUUUGGUUAUUUUCUUUUGUUGCCAUUCAUCUUUUGUUUUUUGCUAACUUGUUCUCCGAUCCUCGAUACAUUUUAAGUAGAUAAGUCGCAUUUACAUACAUUUUGUUUGUCUCCUCGAUACAUUUUGCUAGCUUGUUCACCUCGAUACAUUUUAAGUAUAUAAGUCGCAUUUUAAGUAUAAAAGUAUCAUUGCGUUGUGAGUUUUUUUUUCCAUUUUAAAGGCUGGGAGCUGGAGACGUACGUGUGAUUUUAUUUUUAUGGUAAAUAAAUUUAAUACGAAAACAAAUUUACUAGUACUUAUUAAAUUGUUAAUACGUAACUUCGUACUUUAUACUAUGGUUAAAUUGUUUGGGAAAAGUUUUUUUUGUUUGUUAAGUUCCAAGAAUUUGUUUAGAAAAAGUUAUGAACUUAUACGCGGUUUGCUUUAAAAUGUUUCACUUUUUGUUGGUCAAUAAAUAAAUGAACUUCACUUUGCAUGAAUACAGAUUGACUAUAUCAUACAUACAUUAAAUAUACUAAUAUACGUAUAUUCGCAAAAAUAAAGUACAUACAAUAUAUAUACGUAGCUCUAUGAUUAAAAAGCAGCAAAUGAUUGUAAAUGUUACGCACAGUCUGGCAAUUUAAAGCCUUCUUUGCAUUGCUUCACCCUUAAGGUUUACGUUUAGUGAACUAACUUACAUACAUUGUGUGGAACAUGUAAUCCAUAUAAAUUGACCACAAAAUAGAGUUGUGAAAUGUUUAGUUUCAUUGCAUCAAAGAGAAUAUAUUUUUUCAAAUAAAAGAUAGUACUUGUCACUUCCUAUAUCUCUUACCUGUUAACUAGAAAUAAAUAAACAAAUCCAAAAAAAAUGUGUCCUACUUACUUACUAAUGCUUCAAGCUUGGUAACACAUCAAAUUAAUAUUCUGAUAUAUCAUAUAUCACCUAUCUUACAAAGUCAUUAAUUUUCAGGAUGGAAGAGAUUAGAUUAGGCACUGCUUAUUAUACGAUAAAGAUUGAUAUGGAUGCAUCAUAUUUCCGAAAUAAAGUACAAGUAUUUACGGUAUGUGAUUUUGCUCGAAACUUAAGAGUCGUUUCUUAGUAAGAAAUUAAUUAACAUCGACACAAAUCAAAAAUAGUAACGAACAUAAAAAUGUAACUAUAUAUACAUGUAUCCUUAAGCUGCUGCUACUACAACAACUCGCUAAUCAUUAAGUUUCAUAACUAUAAUGGCUUCAUCAUCAUCAAUAUCAAAUCACAAGAUUCCAAACACACUAAUGUUUUUGGUGAUCGUAAACUUUUUGUACCUAAUUCAAACUAAUUCAGCUGUCAGUAUCAGUUCCAAUUCCAACUCCCACUUCUCAAGAUUCUCGAGACAUCGAAGCUCACCAUCAUCAAAAACCAAACAAGGGUUUCUUGCAACGGUCCAAGAGAGUAUGAACCAUGCUCUCUUGGCUCGUUCUCUUGCUUUCAACCUCACUCUUUCUCAUCGAACCGUACAAACCCACACGUUCGAUCCCAUCCACGACUGCCUCGAGCUGCUCGACGACACACUUGACAUGUUAUCUCGCAUCCAUGCGGAUAAUGAUGAAGAAGAUGUCCAUACAUGGCUAAGCGCAGCACUCACGAACCAAGACACUUGUGAGCAGAGCCUUCAAGAAAAAUCCGAGUCAUACAAACACGGACUUGCGAUGGAUUUCGUCGCAAGAAACCUAACCGGUUUGUUGACUAGCUCGCUUGACUUGUUCGUAUCCGUCAAGUCAAAACACCGGAAACUCUUAUCGAAACAAGAGUAUUUUCCGACGUUCGUUCCUUCGUCGGAGCAACGGAGGCUUCUAGAAGCUCCGGUGGAGGAGCUGAAUGUUGAUGCGGUGGUGGCUCCUGACGGAAGUGGGACACACAAAACCAUAGGAGAAGCCUUGUUGUCUACGUCAUUAGCGAGUAGUGGGGGCAGGACCAAAAUAUACCUAAAAGCCGGGACAUAUCAUGAGAACAUCAACAUUCCGACGAAGCAGAAGAACGUUAUGUUAGUUGGUGACGGGAAGGGUAAAACAGUCAUUGUAGGUAGCAGAAGUAACAGAGGCGGCUGGACUACUUACAAAACUGCAACCGUCGGUAAGAUUCUAUAAAUCAAUUUUCGGUUUGGUUCGGUUCCGUUAUUUUCCGGUUAAUUAUAUUUUAGAGUUUUGGUUUGAUCCGGUUAUUGAUUUACUGAAUUUGAAAAGCCGCUAUGGGGGAAGGGUUCAUAGCGCGGGACAUGACAUUCGUGAACAACGCCGGACCCAAAUCGGAGCAAGCGGUGGCGCUCCGUGUCGGAGCAGAUAAAUCCGUCGUGCAUCGAUGCUCAGUGGAAGGAUACCAAGAUUCACUCUACACACACUCCAAACGACAAUUCUAUAGAGAGACGGAUAUCACCGGCACCGUCGAUUUCAUAUUCGGAAACUCCGCCGUCGUAUUUCAAUCCUGCAACAUCGCCGCACGGAAACCUUUACCGGGUCAGAGAAACUUCGUGACGGCGCAAGGACGGAGCAAUCCGGGUCAAAACACCGGAAUCGCGAUUCAAAACUGCAGGAUCACGGCGGAAUCGAUGACUUAUCUUGGUCGGCCGUGGAAGGAGUAUUCGAGGACGGUGGUGAUGCAAUCAUUUAUCGGCGGGUCGAUUCAUCCGUCGGGUUGGUCUCCUUGGUCGGGUGGUUUCGGUCUCAAAUCUCUGUUUUACGGAGAAUAUGGGAAUUCGGGUCCUGGAUCAUCGGUUUCGGGUCGGGUUAAAUGGAGUGGGUGUCAUCCGUCUUUGACGGUGACGGAAGCGGAAAAAUUCACUGUGGCGAGUUUUAUUGACGGGAAUAUAUGGUUGCCGUCAACGGGCGUUAGUUUCGACCCAGGACUUGUGAAUUGAGCUUUGUAAUUAAAGCUCCUUUGAUAAAUAAAUUCUUAUAUAGUUAUUUAUGUUGUGAUUAAAGUAAGUAAUGGUGUGGUAUAAUCUCUUUUCUUUUUUUAUUAUUUGUAUAUUUGGGUGUAACUAAAGAAAAAAAAAAAACAGUAAGUCCUCGAAUAAAAUCUGAAUUUGUUGUAAGAAUGGUUUGUAUGUUUUACUAGAUUUUAACCCGUGAUAUAUAGCGGGGCUAUACCUUUUUAAAAAAAUAAAAAUUAAUUUGUUUAGUAGAUUAAAUAAAUAUAAUUUAUUUUUUAUAUUUUUUAAAUGUACAACUCUUUUAUAUAUAUAUAUAUAUAUAUAUUAUUUAGUAUACAAUUACUAUGUUUAAUUUUUACUGUUUAAAAAUAUAGAAAGAAUAACAAAUAGUUUAUUAAGUUAAAAUUUAGAUUAUAACUAAAUAAUUCAAAUUUGAAUUAUAUUUGUUUUAUUAAUAUAAUGAUAUUUUAAUAUAUAUAUAUAUAUAUAUAUAUAUGAUUUCAGCCGUGGUAUACUGUCUCGUAUUAUUAUCGAUCUAAAGCCGUCAUAUCAUCUAAUCUCGUUCAGUGAAAUUAAACAUUUCUAAUAGAUUCACCCAUGCUAUACUGUCUCGUAUUACCUAUCGACCCAAACUCGUCAUACCAUCUAACCCCGUUCAACGAAAUUAAAAAUUAUUUUGUUAUUUUUGUUUUAAUAAUACUUUAAUUUAAAAGAUAUAUAAUUCAAAUAAAUUUAAAUUUUUUAUUUCAAAUGGUUAUUUAAUUUUUUUAAAGUUCAUAUAUUAUAAAUAUUCUAAACCCGUCUUAUCAUCUAAUCUUGUUCUGUAAAAUUAAACAUUAUUUUUUUUAGUUUUAGUUUGAAUAAUAUUUUUAUUAAAAGAUUUAUAAUUCACAUCAAUUUAAAAGUUUUAUUUCAAAUGAUUAUUUAAUUUUUAUAGAUUUCACAUAUUAUAAAUAUUAUAAAACAUUUUUCCGUUGAAUAAUUUAAAUGUUUAAUUAACUAUAAUAUUUAUCUUUUAAUCAAGUAUAUAUUAAUAAUGUCCUAAAAUUUCUCAUUUUUAUGUAAUUAAAAUUGAUGGAAAUAUAUUAGAUAAGGAAAUGCUACAAAUUAGGAAUAUUAAUUAAUUAAUAAUAAUUGAUGGUAAUGACAUUCCUUGUAAAUAAAUUUCAACUUGAGAAUUUAUUUGUUAAAAUCGCUGAAAAAUGUAUAUAUAGAUUUCACAAUUUCUCUAUAUGCUUAAAAUUACUUGAUAUUCUUAUCAAUUGCUCUGUUUAAUUUGGGACUGCAAUGAAACUACGUGUGAACGAUUGGGUUCGGAUUAUGGUAUGUGGAUAAAGGCUCAGCCCAUCCAUGCAGUGGUUUUGAAAUAAGUUAGGAUAGAUAGUUAUUUGAAGCCCAUAUUAAAACCCCACAACCCAUACUAUUGUUGGAUUAUGUUCGUUUUUGUGAAAAAAAGAAGAAGGAGAAGGAUUAUGUUAGUAAUUGGUCAACUUCUUUUUCGUUAUUUUCUGUUACUGAAAAGACGAUAUCUUAUGUGUUUAUUUAUUUGGUGGAACAAACGAAUUAAAUUGUGAUAUUUGUUGGUUUAAGUAAUAUUUUAUUGAAUAAUGUUGGUCAAAUGGUUGGUCGUCUAAGAUUAAAUAAUGGGUGGAAGAAACGAAUUAAUAUCUACAUGAGUCCAAAUUCGACACUGUGCCAAUAUGCUAGAUGCAUGCAUGUCUUUGAUGAGUUUUCCGGAAAACUCUAUUGAGCCUUGAAAAUUUAUCAAAAAUAUGUAUGAUGCGGAUUAAUUUGUAUAUCAUUUUUCAUAACCACAAUUUCCAAAGAAAUAAAAACGUACUUAAGACAUUUACUGUGGCCAACUAUGUUAUGAAUAAUGAAUUCAGAGUGAAAAGAUCGAUAUGAAUAAUUGAAGAAUAGUGAUAAAUAAUUGAAAGCUUAACAUAUGAAAAUAAUUAAAAGAGAUAGUUAAUUAGGAAGUGGUCUUCGUUUUGAGUAUUAAAAUCUUGCCUCUCUAACAAUAGGCAAGAUUGGCCCACUUUUUCUAUUUCACGGUUCUGUUUUUUAACUCAAUAUUUGCAUGUACGUGUGUAUGCGUAUGUGUACAUUAAAUUUAUCCCACGUGCAACCCUUUUGUCUCUGUCCGUUUAUUUUAUUCCUCAGUUUUAUUAACCAACCAAAUCGUUUUUGUGUUACGCGUAACUUACGGUCUAUAAUUAUUUUAGACCGAGAGUCUGAAUAUGUUUAACUAAUUAGAUCUUUCCUACUGUCGAUUUUAAUAUGACAUGGUCUUCUCUUUUAAGAAUUUAAAUUACCGAAAAUUGAUCUUCAAUCCGUUUUACAUGGACUUCUCUAUGAUGAUAUUUGAACAAUAUGUCUGUACUACAACAAACAUAGUUAAAGAUAUUUGUAACAUCUAUUUAGGCUAUCGUAAUUCGUAACUGGUUUUGUUAUAUAAGACAUUUUCAAUGAGUUUAUUAUAUAUGCUUUUGCAUAAAGUUACAAACACUAUAUAUGCUUGAGUCAUGGUUUGCUUCGUGACUCGUCGUCGUCGAUCGCAUAAAUUAUCUUUGAGGUUUAAAUAAAAAAUGAAAGAAAAUGAGCGCCGUCAUGUUAUCCACCGGAGAAAGUAAAACGGAGCCACGUCAACAGUUACGGAGCAAAGUCGCCGACAGUUGUAACGUCAAGCUUAAUCAGCCGUCUUCAUUUUGAACAUAACGUAAUAAAACAACCAAACACUCUUUUUUCCUCUUUAACAACAAAAGAGGCGUCAGUGCUUACGUGGCUUUUCACACGUUCUGAUUUUCAACAUUUUGUAAAUCAUUAUUACUAAAUGACCAAUAGCAUUUAUUCUUUUGUUUUUGUUUUACAUUUUUAGUUGGGAUAUUUUAAUCAACUAGUAUGAUAAAGUUUAUUCGCCCCCAACGACUUAUUAUUAAAUUAAGAAGAGAAUCAAAGAAAACGAAUGGUGUAGUUAAUAUUAAUUGAAUAAUUAGAACAAAAAAAAAUUAAAGAUAAAGAUAAGAGAGAAAGGAAAGUGGAGGUGGGUAAAGGCCAUAGCCAUGUGCCUUCAUGUGGUGGUUGGCCCAUUAGUGGACCUACUCUACCACUUCUUCAACUCUUUUUUAGUUCUUAUUAUAUGAUUAACACCUUCUUAUUCAUUUGGUUUCACUCCUAAUAUCAACAAUUUUGUAAAUUGUUAUUGACCCGAAAUUGUUAAUCUUUAAACGUAUUUUUAUGAUAGAUGUGAAAUUUGAAACCUUAGAGAAAACAGUGAGAUUUAAGGGAUUUUGGAGCUGAAUCUUGAAAAAAGAUAAAUAUGAUCAUGAUGAUGUUAUACAAAAGAAUUAAAUGGCGUGAAAAAUACGUCCGGCGGCAAAGCGGUAGGGGAGAGAGUGAUUAACACAAAAGAGAUGGGACUAAUGCUAAAUUAUAGCCUUAACCAAACACUUAUCGUAUUCCUCAAGUCUCUCUUCUCUUCUUUUAUAUUUUCAUGUGUUGUCUUUUCUAAAUUGGUUAGUAAUAUUUGGUGUAUAUAAAUUGUAACGUCAUCUAUUGGUCAAGCCAAUUGAAUAAUCUCAUAUUUUGUUGUUGCUCUCUUGCAUGGUGAAUACUUUGUUAUAUAUCUGAUCAAUUUUAAACACGUUUUAUCUUGAUGAUGCGAGUGGCUAAUUGAUUAAGUUUAUUAACACUUUAUAUCGUCGAAAUAAUCAUAGUUAUUCUCAGGUUCAAUGGUGUUACUUUCUAAACUAACGUAUAGUUCAAACUCAGUUUCGAAUAAACAUCCUCAAUCAGUCGUUUCACGAGAGUUGGAUUUUGGCUGAAUUUUGUUUGUGGAAGUAAAUAUCGAGCAAGUAAUGAAUCAAUUAAAUUGAUAUUUUGGGUUUUGUUAUUUCUUUUGCCUUGAAAAUGAGCUUAUAUGUUUUCCACAAUCGAUCAUAUUCCAUCUUAAUCGUCAUUAGUUGUCAACUAAUGUUAACAUAAAUACAUACAUAUAUGUAUAUAGCUUACCUAAUUUUAUCAUAAUAGUCUCUAUUAGCUGUUCACGUUAAUGAAUUCAUACGCAUUCGUCACUAAAUUAACCUUUUAUAAAAACAAACAAAUAAACAUAAUAGUGUGGUUGGAAUCUAAUUCCAUAAUCUGAUGUCUGCUCUAAAUUGCUCUUUUUUCCGUUAAUACCAAGCUAUGAACCAAACGAGCUUGAUUAAUUUGCGUCUAGUACUUAAACAUCAUCCGAAUUAUUAUUUUGUUUUAGCUAAGAUGUAUACGAGCAUUAAUGCUAUAUAUAUUGUAUUUGGGUGUAGUAUACAUUAAUAUUUCAAAUUUCAAAAUAGUCAAAUAUAUAUACCCAAAAUAGCCAAGUUCUGUUAAUCUAUUGGCAUCAACUUUUUUCUUCAAGCUCCAAAACAUCGUUUUCCACUAAUUGCCCAUUUAUUUAUUCAAGACUUUAUAACACUAGGUGUAAAUUAUACUUUUCCGAAAUACAUGGGUUAUACAAUUCACAUUUCAUUUUAAAAUUCUAACACAUAAUGAUAUAUUUACACAUCUAAGUAGCCACCAGUAAGCAAUCGAUGUCAAACCACUAAACCAUAACAGACGAAUCUACAAAAAAUUUGAACUAAUAUUAGUAAACCCCCAAAGUUAAACAUAGAACUGUAUUUAUUUGCUGUUCACCAUUGAAGAAAACUGCCACUUAUAACUUCAUAUUCUCAUAUUUUUACGCAACGUAACUUUGACGGACCAAUUAAGCUCCAAAAUUCAAUAUUUCAAAGCUAUUAACACAUCUUUUUUUUUUUAGAACAUGAGUUAUAAAUAGUUGAACCUAUAGUUUAAAUUUAAACUUUAUAGAGAAUUUGAAUAGUUGUGUGUCUUGUGACAUAAAAAAACAUAAAGAAAAGUUAAGUACAAGGAAAAAUAAACAUUAUUUAUUCCUCUCUAUCUCUCUCUCUCUCUCCACCUUUCCAUUUAUAUUAACCCUAAUAUUGUGUCAUUCUCAAAAAAAAAAAAGUUUUAUAAAGGUUCUCAACUCAAGUUCUCUUCUCUAAAAAACCCAAACAAUGGCCUCUGCAGACAAACUCAUAAACACAGAUGUCCCUGAAAAGGACGUUUUUGCCUUCCACUUCCUCCAAUCCCUCUCAAAUCUCAGAAAACAAAACCCUUUUGAUACUCCGGACCAAAAAAACUACCGCGUGAGGAAGAUCAAGAAGGCUGCGUACGUUUCCAUGGCCAGAGCAGCCGGAGGGAGUAGCCGGCUAUGGAGCAGAGCCCUCUUGCGUAGAGCAGACAAAGAUGACAACAAGAUCGUAAGAUUUUCAAGGAGGAAGUGGAAGAUAUCAUCAAAACGGAGGAGGAGUAACCAGAGAGCUCCGGUGGUGGAGGAGGCGGCGGAGAGGCUGAGGAAUCUUGUUCCGGGAGGCGGAGGAAUGGAGACGUCAAAGCUGAUGGAAGAGACGGCUCAUUACAUCAAGUGCCUUAGUAUGCAGGUCAAGGUCAUGCAGUGUCUCGUUGAUGGCUUAUCUCCCAAAUGAUCAUCAAUUAAUCAUCAACAUCAUCAUCAAUGAUCGAUGUAUAUAGAGAUACGACACAUACAUAGUCUAUUGGAUUGGGGUAAUCAUAACGAAUAUAUAUGUGUAUAUAUAUAUAUAUAUAUAUAUAUAUAUUCUUAUAUAUAUACAUACGUGUAAGAUAGGAUACAUAUAUGAAAUGUGUGGAUAUGUAUUAGUCUCGAAGUAACGAAAGAUUUUUUUCUUUUUCUUUUCUUGAAUUUUGAUAAAAGGGGAUUUAUUAUUUAUCAUAUGCUAUGGCCGGUUUAAACAUUAGGGCUUGGUAACUUGCCCUUGUCAUAUGAUAAAAGGGGAUUUAUUACUUAUCAUAUGCUAAGAGAAUUUUCUUUCUUCUUUUCUUUUAAGCUAUGCAAUUUACUUGGUUCCUCUUGAUUGUGUUAUUCGUCAAUGAUGUUUCUAUGGAUGGAUUAUAUAUAUAAAGUUAUAACAUAUUAGUUAUAAGAAAAUUAUAGCGGAAUUAUAACUAUCAUAAAAUAUACAUUCUGUAUUUAUAUAUCUCCUAUACAUAUACGACUGUUUAUGUUUUUGAGAAAAUAUAUGAUAAAUCUAAUAAUUUUAAAAAUAUAUAUUUAUAGAAUUAUGAAUCAUUUAAUUAAAUGAUUUUUUUUUGUUUAACACGGAGUUACUUGAAUAAGUCUUAAAAAUACUUGACAUUAUAUAGGUUAAAGAAUUUUGUAGAAUAUAUAUAAUUUAACUCCUUUUUUGUUUUGUAUAACUCUUUUUUCAGGUAAGAGAGAUUUUUUUUUUUGUAUAACUCUAACAUUUCAUGAUUUAUGUCGGAUUGAAUUCAAAUGGUCGCUCACAACAACAUUAUUAACAAAAAUUACAAGACUCUGAUUACUUGUUUUCUUUAUAAUCACAUUUUCCGUUGGAAGGAUUAUCUACACGUCUUAUUUAUGCAGUUGGUCAUACUUAUAUUUCAUACGAGUGUCCUACUUUAAUUUGUCAAUUAUUAUACACGUGUACGUAAACAGACAAAUUGGUCAAUUCCACAUAUUUCACAUCAAAUAUCUGAUUCGUGCAUUCGUUUUCGUCAGAAUUUCAUUCCAUCAGUCGAAUAAUAUUUGAACAAACUUUCAAGUUUUAUGGAAUUUUCAAAGACUUAUUUUUCCCAAAAAAGAAAACACACAAAGAUUAACAAAAGGGAAUUUGCAUUAUACUUGAAAUUCUACAAAAACGAGUCUGAAUUCAAGAGAAGGUUAAUAUAGACUCUGUACAACAUGUCAUGAGUCUUACUAGAGAACCUUUCUUUCUUCUCCCCCAAAACAAGGAAAAAAAAACGAUAUAAUACAGUACUUUCCGAUGUGUCUUGAAUUACUUUUGGUAUCCGAUUAACUUUGGCUUUGCAGAGAACUUACAUCAUCAGCUUUUGUGUACCUCUCACAUAUGAAAUCUGCUUAAGCUAUGCUCGAUGUUUUGGGGAAAAGCUAAUUCAGUUUGAUUGAUAACACAUCAUUAGAAUAUUGUUGAAUCAUGUUAUUAUGCCACAGGCAUUGGAUCCUCCGGUGUGUGAGACUCUGAUUCUUCGAUACCGUAAUUCCAUAGUUCUUUAAGCUCUCCUCUUACCAACCCCAGUAUGACGGCCAAACCUACAGAGAGAAAACACAUCAGGUUUUGUUUGAGAACGAUGGAGAGGAGUGUUCAAAAACAGAUGGAGGAAAGGGAACUCAAGCUUCUGGUUUUACCGAGUGUGCAGGGUACGAUGUACAAUAGUGCCGGCUGGCCAUGUCCGUCCAUAAGAUACAGACCUAGGUAUGUCAGUAAUAGACCUACAAAACAGAACAGGAAGAAACAAUGUUUCUGUUAAGUUCCAAGACUGUGAAUGUGAGAAGCCAUCUCGAUUAGCAAGCUAUGUUAUUUUAUAGUCGGAAAAUAUAAAAUAAUUGAGAUCAUUUACUCUGUUGUAUAAGCUAUGUAACGCCAUUAAUGUUCACAGAGUUAGUAAUGCGUGGACACUUACCUAUUCCAUAGCCGAUAGUCAACCAGAGGAAGUACCCAUUUGAUAUUACCCUCUUUUUUAUCUUGUCAUAUCUGAGAUCAAAGAGUGGAGCAAGUAUUAAUCGUGGGAGAGGAUUGGAUGAGAGAAUCGUUGAGAAAGACACUCUGGAGAAAGUAUGGGCAAAGAUGGAAUUCCAAGUUGUUCUUUGAAGCUCUAAGAAUGUCACUGACUAAAAGUACCUGGAAGCAAAGGAAAUGAGCAAACCGGGGAAGAGGAUGUCCCCAAAACCAAUCAUGUCAUAACCACCCCAAGGAUCAAAGAACCGAGGAAUCCUUAGUAGCAUCGGAAUGGACUCCCCAGUGCUGCUGUCUCCUUGGGCAACCUACAAAGAAGGGAGUUUCAAAUAAGAAUAUACUGGCUGAGCUUCUCUGGGCCCUUCAAUUACUCAAUUAUCACAAUCGACUACUAUUCAAAGUUAUUGAGUUAUAAAGUUACUUGUGUAAGCUGUUGACAAAACGACAAAGAUACUACAGCCCUACCAUAACAAAUUUAUGUGUCACAAAACAAACUUCAAUGAUACCUUCCGAAACAGCAUAUUUUUUUGGUCAGAAUUGCAGAAACGAAACAAAUCACAUAACUAGCCCCUUUCUAAGCCUAACCUGGAUAAACUGAGUGUAGCAAUAGAAAUGAUAAAUUUUCGACUUUGUAAGAGAUACUCACCACAAUCAUAACACUCUCGUGAAAUAUCAAUGGAGAUAUGAAGACCCAGAAAAUGUCAUAGACAAAUGCGCAGCAAAGAAGUACAGUCGCAACCUGGAGUACAGACCAUUAUAAGCAUAACAGAGAACAAUCAUAAUUCACUACACAGCAAACUAGAUAAAAUACCUUGAUGUUAGGUAAUCGAACCACUUGCAAGGCAGUGAUCAUCAAACAUAUGCCCUGUCAACAAGAUGACAAUAAAUAUUUCACUAAGUGCAGCCCAAGGAACCAAAACUUCUCAACAUGACCUCUUCCUUUAUGGAAAGAGUGGAAUAUGAAACUAAAUUAACAAAAAUAGCAGAAGCGGUGAUAAGAGAAAUAAUGAGAGGAAAUGGUAUCUAGAUGCAUGUAGUGACGAAGAAAAAGAGAGCUAUGGGAGUUACCAAAAUGUCUUGGCCAACCCAAGAAUACGAUGUGUGACGUUUUAUAAACCAGAAAACAGCAAACGCCAAACAAACAAUAUUCACCAAAAGCGACAACACUGACAUUGUUCCAAGCAAAGGGAGCUUCACAGAUUUCCGAGCAAGAUGUCUGCAUUUUCUGCAGGCGGAACAAACAUAUAUCUGUUAAGAGAUGUUGACCAGAAAAAGAGAGAAGUGAAAUAAUCAGGAAUAUUUCAGAAUACCUCAAUAUAACAGCCAUAAUGAUGUUGUGCAUACCCUGAAAACAACAGCCACUGCGUUAAAUUGACGGAAAAAGCACAUAUACAUUUAAUCUAAAUUCUAGACAGGUUCAAAACCGCCGGAUGUUAAUGAAAUUACCUGCAUGCCGCCAAUGCAGAAAAAUAUGGUGAGCACCCAUACAAACCAUGAUGACAUGAAGUAGAAAAGGAGCAGCAGAAAUAUGGAGGCUGUUACAAUAAAAAAUACAGCACCAGUGACACUUAUAUCAAGGAUUUCCUUCUCUGGGUCAUCUUUUCUGGUCCCAGCACUAGAAACAUCCUGGAAAAAAUUCAGUAAAUUAUUUUUUUUUCUUUAAAAAGACAUUGUUAAUUCAGCUACAUAAACUGAAGUUUUGAUCACCAAGUCUACAGAAUAACAAGAGGCUGCUACGCAAAGUAUCUGGGAAAUGUAAACUACGUGUAUAGGAUAUCAAAGGCAGUUAAUUGUAGAAACCAUAGCAUGCAAAAGUGCUUAACCACAAUUCUCUGGUACACCUUUGCUAGUAUGCUGUAAGAUUCAUUAGCUUGGUCAGGAUCUGUAAGCUCUGACCACAGUGAUGCAACGACAACAGUUCCCACAGCCAUGAGCAAUAACAAUCCAGCUGUGAGGUCCACGGCAGGACGCUUUGGAGCAUACAACAAAAGCUCAACUGCAUCAUAAAGAAACUGGACUUAGCCUAAAAGAGAUUUAUACGAAUACCAGAUGGUUCAAAUUGUAGAGCUACAGGACCAACAAGAGAAAAACUGAAGUGCGAAAUCACAAAGGCUCACCAUUCUUAUUGUCAACCAUAGACUUGUUGAGAGCAUCUCCGCUUGACUUAGAGAUCAUUAAGACAGGUAUGCUCACAUUUAGAGAUGUGUCCUUUUCCAUACAUCCCAUCUCAUCAAGAUCUGAUAACAGAUCAUGAGUAAAUCAUAUGAUCCAAAGCUACGAAACACGAAAAACAUCAAUCCGAAACCGUAUUGAAAAGAAAAAAACACCUUCUUUGUCAUUAAUGACUAAGAGAGCAGAAGCACCAGCUGCCUCAGCAUGUUUGGCCUUCUCAGUGAAAGCACAAUUGCCACGGAUCGACAAGGCAAUAUGUCCAUCUAACUGGAACAAACAAUGUCAAUACAAGAUAUCAAUGAACAUUGCCAAAAAAAAAAGUCAGCUUGCACUUCCAAAUUACAUGGUGGAAGCCAUUGACUUCAUUCUAAAAGCAAGAAGAAAAGAGAAACUGACCCUGGAAGAGAGAUGGGAACAAGAGUCCAAAGGAUCUACAAAAGCAGCAGGAAAUCUAAGAGCUUGAUCAGGAACAGAAGGCAAGGCAGCUCCAAAUUGAGCAGUUAAGCCAGUAAGGAAGUCUCCUUCAACACCAUCAACCCAAUUUAAGACCUUUACCUAUAUGAAGAUCAUUUCCACCAAAUAUAGAAUCUCAUUAACAAAGAGAGAGAGAGAAGGAAAACUAGAUCAAUCAACUCCACUGAACCAGAGAGUGAUUAGAUACGAAGUAAAGAUAAGAAAUUGAAUGCACCAUUUGAAACUUAUUGGUACAGCCAGGAGACUCGAGGCUGGAAUCUUCGGUCCACGAUACAUCGUCGGCCGCCGCUACCGAAAAACCAAGCAGGAGAAGAAUAAGUACUAAGGCUGAAUAUCGGUGAUUCGGCGGAUCAAACGACGACAUGACGCAAUCGACUGAGCAAAUCGGAGAGAAGAAGAAGAAGAAGAAGAAGAAGAGACAAAGAGUUGCUGUUAAAAUCUUUCUGGGAUAUAUCGGACGGUCGAUAUUAUAGUCUUUUUUAUCCUCUAAAUUCAAUAAUUCUUUUACUGUUUCUAUUGUGCCAAUUUUUGAGUGAUUCAUUAAAACUAUAUGAUAUACGACAGCUCUUUUUGCUCAACUAAUCAAAAAUCAUAAAUUAAUAUAUGUCGCAUUAUGUAAAAUAUAAUGGUUUCAAAAGUAUUUUGAGCAGAAUUCAGAUCCCCACGAUGUAUUUUGACUUGUCUAGUAUGUCAAACAAACAAAUAGAACAGUUAAGUAGAGGAGUUUGAUUGUAAAUUCUAAAUGUCAUCGUACCGGCCGGUUUAAAUGUUCUUCAUUUGAUAACUAUCAAGAAAAACUAAAUUAUUUAGAUAACUAAUUUAUAUGAACUCGAUUUAUCUGUUUAUUUAACAAUAGAAAUAUCAAGAAAAACGAAUAAUUCAGGAGAGAAACACCUUCUUGGUUAUAUAAAAUUACAAGAAAUUUACAGUUUGUACUUAAAAUCUUUUCCCUUUGAAUUUCGUUUUGAGCUAAUUACAAAACAAUUUGUUUUUUUUUUUCUGUUUGGUUCCCUUUGUAAUUAGUACCUUAAUUUACUCUGACAAGAUGAAUAUUUUUCCAAAAAGAAAGUAAAAAGAGAAAAAGAGUCCAUGACGGAUAUUCAAAAAAUAAUUAAAACAAAAAGGAAGGGAAAGAAGAAAGAAAAAGGCCUUUGUUUUUUUAAAGAGAAGAGAAGAUCUCUGAGAAGAAACUCCUCUGACGUUUUUUCUCCACCCAAAUCUCUCUCAACUCUCAAGCUCCUCUCUUUUUCUUCCUUCUGCAACAACAACAACUGUUACUGAUCUCUCUCUCUCUCUCCCAAGUUUUUAUUUUAUUUUGAUCGGAGAUCGAGAUCAGCUAGACAUGGCUCCUGCCAUGAAGAUCGUCUUCGGUCUCUUGACAUUUGUCACUGUCGGAAUGGUCAUCGGUACUUUCUCUCUAUUUAUAGUCCUCUACAUUUGAUUUUUAAUUUUGGUCUUCAAAGUUUAUAUCUUUUUUUUUGUUUUCUCUCGGCCAAAUUGACUCUGUGAGAAAUUGAAACGGCUCUUUCGUAAACUCAUGGAGAUUGUGUUUCUCUUUUGUUCCUGGAAUCUGCAGGUUCCUUGUUACAAUUGGCCUUUAUUAAUAGAUUGGAAGAUUCGUACGGUAACUCCUCUUUCUUUCUUAUUUUCUUCAUUUAUACUUGUAGAUGUGUCUUUGGUGAUAGAAUUGCAAAUAUAGGUAUCUGAGCUCUUGAGCAAGGGAUUGAGAGGACAUUGCACUACAAUGUCAACGAAUUCGUAGGACUAGAUCAGGGAUUUUGAUUGUAGUUUAUGCUUACUACAAUGAAGAGAUGAUCCCCUUUUGGAUUUUCUAUUGCUUGUUUUGUUGUUGUGGUGUCCUUUUGAUUUCUAAAUUCUUUCUCCUUCUUAUUCAGGAACUGGAUUUCCGUCUCUAAGAGGACUUCGAGGACAGAACACCCGCUAUCUACGAGGUUGGUGUGAUCAUUUCUAUCCAAAACUAUGCUUGCAUUUAGGUUGUUAACAUAAUAGUCUCUUUCUAACUAUUUGAAUCUCGGCUUUAUGACAAGACUCUUCUUAUAGAGCUUGAUUUGUGGACAUGUUAUGAUACCGAAUCGAUUAAUGGCAAGACUUGUUUAUUUUCAGAUGUCUCCCGGUGGGCAAAUGACAAAGAUGCAGAAUUGUUACGGAUUGGCAAUGUAAGUAUAUCGUAUCCAUUUUGCAGUUGUUUUUUUUUCUUAGGGCCUAUGGUUGCCUAAAAAUUUCAUUUAUAUACCUCUACAGUUGAAGAAUUGGUACAUGGAGGAGAAAAAUUAAAUUGUUUGUAGUACGGACACAUUUCUUAAAUAUACUAUCUCUUUGUGAAACUAUGAAAAUUACACACACAUGUAUCGUUUUUUGUUUUACUUCUGUAAAUCUAGGUCCGUUUUGUGUGCUUCCAGCUAAUGUUUAUUUUCUUUAGUGCAGGUCAAGCCUGAAGUAGUCAGUUGGUCCCCUCGAAUUAUUGUGCUUCAUGACUUUCUCAGUCCGGAGGUAUAUACACCCCCCACUAAUAAAUUCUAGUUCAUUGAGUUAGCUGAUUGUAGAAUAGUCUGUUCUUGCUGAUGUUAGGCCUUUAAGUAGAGAAAAAACUUGUUCAUAUCAUCUUUAUUCUAGCAAGGAUAAGCUAAGAUUUGAUAGAAAAGCAAAAUCUUAGGCUCAGUUCUAAGUAUUAUCAUAAGAAUUAGCAAAAGAGCUUUUGGCUGUUUUUUGUCUUCCCAUUAAAAUAGUUUUCUUGUUUCUCCUGAUAUGUAUAUUUGCAGGAAUGUGAAUACCUAAAAGCAAUCGCCCGGCCUCGCCUUCAAGUUUCCACUGUUGUUGAUGUAAAAACCGGAAAGGUAUUGGACAAUACCUUCCUUUUAGUUCUGUAGAAGAAGUAAAAUUUCUAUUACAUCCACUCUCUGCCUUCGAUUGUUCAGUUGUUUCAAUCAAACAUUGGACACAAAUAGAAACGCUCUAGGUUUGCCUGCAAAGUCUAAUUCAUUCUCUUCCAUAGUAGACAUAUUCUAGUUAUGCUUUCAAAGUCUUAACCAUACUCUUCCAUUUUCUUAUCACUUUCUUCUUGCUUAGGGAGUUAAAAGUGACGUGAGGACAAGCUCCGGAAUGUUUCUAACUCAUGUAGAAAGAAGUUAUCCAAUAAUACAGGUAAGUCACUCUCUCAUAUCUUUUAAAGGCGUGCCAUUUUGAUCAACUUUACAAUUUUGUAAAUUAUAUUCCUUUUCGUUUGCUAUUAUUAGGCAAUUGAAAAGCGAAUUGCAGUCUUUUCUCAAGUACCAGCGGAAAAUGGAGAACUUAUUCAAGUUCUAAGGUGCGUGCACAACCGCAACCUUACUAUUUUUUAAAUCUAAAGUAAACGAAGCUUUUUUCUUGUUUUGAUGAAUCAAAAUCUGCUGCAGUGCAGAUAUGAGCCGCAGCAGUUUUACAAACCACAUCACGAUUACUUUGCUGACACUGUAAGUCUUUGGUUCUGUUUUCAUAUAUAUAUAUCAUUAGUAGAUUGGUAAAGAAAGCUUUUGCUCUGAUUAAAAAAAAAACUAAAAAGAGGCUACAGUAUUUAACUUUUGGUUUGGUCAAUAAUGUUUAGUUGGAUCUGUACUUCAUCUUCUCCUUCUUCAUCAUCUUAGAACAUUUAGUUUGGAAGUACGUUUAUUGUGGGUGUUCAUCAUAUUUCCUCGUUUCUUUUCUUAUGGUUGCUACACAGUUCAAUCUAAAGCGUGGUGGUCAGCGCGUAGCAACUAUGCUUAUGUAUCUAACUGAUGACGUCGAAGGAGGAGAAACUUAUUUCCCUUUGGUAUAACACUUUCUCUCUGUUCAUGCAAAUUUCAGAAAACAAAAUAAACCAAUGGUGUAAUAUCUCUCUCUCUCUACUUGAAAUGCAGGCUGGUGAUGGUGAUUGCACCUGUGGUGGCAAAAUCAUGAAAGGCAUCUCUGUUAAACCCACCAAAGGAGACGCAGUUCUCUUCUGGAGCAUGGUUUGUUUCUUCAAUCUCUCUCUCUAUGUCUCUACACAAACAUGAAUCAAUUGGACUGCUUUGAGUUCAAUUACUUCUUGUGUUAUUCAGGGACUCGACGGACAGUCAGAUCCUAGGAGCAUACAUGGAGGAUGUGAAGUUCUGUCUGGAGAAAAGUGGUCUGCUACUAAAUGGAUGAGGCAAAAAGCUACUUCUUGAAGAACUACUUAAAACUUUUUAAAACAAAAAGAAACCACAGGGACUUAUAUUGAAAAAUGUCAUAGUAUCUCAGAGUUUUGAUUUACUCUCUUUUUGACCCUUCAAUUUUAGAAUUUAUCAUUUACAUACGUAAAUCAAUAUGAAUGUGUUUUACAUUUUAACCUCUCCAACAAAUUCUAAAUUACUGUUAGCAUAUAACUGACACAGAAAACAAUUACUGUUACAAAAGAAUUAACUAUCAUUUCACCGAAAUAACGAAGGAGAGUGGCAUUUUGGUAAAUAAGAACAAAGUCUCUAUUUAUAAUCGCAUUUUGGUUGACUUGCUUCAAUCUUGACCACAGCAAAGAGAAACAAACAAUGGCGGCUUCUCUGCAAUCAGCAAACCCUACAUUGUCACGAACCCUAGCUUCUCCGAACAAACCUUCCUCCUUCGCCACCUUCCGAUCUCCAUUUCUCAGAUUCAAUUCAACAUCCGUCGCUUCCAAUUUCAAACCCCUAGUUUCUCGAGAAGCAUCCUCAUCGUUCGUCACUCGCUCCGCCGCCGAGCCACAAGAAAGAAAAACCUUCCAUGGACUGUGCUAUGUCGUCGGCGACAACAUCGACACUGACCAAAUCAUUCCCGCGGAGUUUCUCACUCUCGUCCCUUCGAAUCCAGAGGAAUACGAGAAACUCGGUUCUUACGCUUUAGUUGGUCUUCCAGCUUCUUACAAGGAACGAUUCGUUCAGCCAGGUGAGAUGAAGACGAAGUACUCAAUCAUCAUUGGCGGUGAAAACUUUGGAUGUGGAUCGUCACGUGAACAUGCUCCGGUUUGUUUAGGAGCAGCGGGAGCUAAAGCAGUGGUGGCUCAGUCUUAUGCUAGAAUCUUUUUCAGGAACUCUGUUGCUACUGGUGAGGUUUAUCCUUUGGAUUCUGAAGUUAGGGUUUGUGAUGAGUGUACAACUGGUGAUGUUGCGACUGUUGAGUUGAGGGAAGGAGAUAGUAUUUUGAUCAAUCAUACGACUGGGAAAGAGUACAAGCUUAAGCCGAUUGGUGAUGCUGGACCAGUGAUUGAUGCUGGUGGUAUAUUUGCUUAUGCUAGGAAAGCUGGAAUGAUUCCAUCUGCUGCUGCUUGAUUUUGACUUCAGGUAUGAUUCUGUAACUUGAUGAUGAUGAUGAUGAGGAUUGGUAAUAGGUUAGGAUUGAGAUCGAAUUUGUGGAAUAGUCUAGGAAGCUUGACAUUGAAUUGAACGAUGCAAAACAUAGUUUUCAAUGGUUCUAGUUAGAGAAAGAGAACACAGUAGUUGGGAUUCUAGUUUUGUGUUGUUUAAAAUGUGUUGGUUUAGUUUUUGUGUGAGAUUGAUAAUGACUUGUUAUUCUUUCUCUUCGCUUAAGACUUACUUUAUCUUUCCAUUGGUUCAAUUUCUAGAUUGUACAUCUCUUGAUUGUAGUUGUUGGGAGGGUAAAAGUUAUGAUGUUGGCUGAUCUUUUCCAUGCUCAUAUCCAUUAAGACUUGAGUGUCCGAUAGUAGAACAAUACUUCACUCUUAUUUUGUCUCUAAGACUCCUUUUUUUUUUUCCUUUUUUUGUUCUAUUUGUUUUGCAGGUGUCAAUGGAAGUGCAUGAGAGUCACUUCAAGGAUCUUGAUCCAAUAAUAAGAAUAUGUAAUGUUUCCAAAAGCUUAUGAACCUAAUCUAUGUUUUAUGAAUAUAUAUGACUAUCGGCUUUAGUCUUCAGUAUCAGUUUCUUGUUUACAUUUGGAUGUAUCAGCUGCUAAAAAAAUGCAUAGUUUCCCAUCCCAUUUGAAACGACGUUUUCUCUCAUGUCUUCCACUAAUAUAAUCUUCUGGUCAUGAGAACAGAACAGGAGCUCUGUUUUUCUCACACAAUGAUCGAACACACUUUUGUCAUAUAGUAUAGAGAAAUAUUAACACUUCUUUUUAGGCAUCCGUAUCUAGAGUCUUUGUUUCACUGUGACCUACCUAAGUAUAUCAAAACGCACGUUUGGAAUUCUGAAUGGCACUUUCGUAAAUAGGAGGGUACAAACAUUUCUCCUUUUAAAUUGUUUUCAUCGUGAACUCUCUCACUCACUCAACAAAGUAAAGAAACAAUGGCGUAUUCUCUUCCUACAUUUCCCCAAGCCUUACCUUGCUCGUCAACCAAAACUUCUUCCUCCUUGGCUACCUUCCGAUCUCCUUUCUUAAGAUUCAAUGGUUCCACUUCCUUAAUCCCCUCCUCUAUCUCCAUCACUUCACGUGGCACAUCCUCCCCGACCAUCAUCCCACGUGCUGCCGCCUCAGAAUCCGACUCUAACGAAGCCCUAGCCAACACAACCUUCCACGGCCUCUGCUAUGUCUUGAAAGACAACAUAGACACCGACCAGAUCAUCCCAGCAGGAGCCGCUUGCACCUUCCCAUCGAACCAGCAAGAGCGUGAUGAGAUCGCCGCUCACGCUCUCUCUGGUCUACCAGACUUCCACAAAACACGGUUCAUUGAGCCAGGAGAGAACAGAUCAAAGUACUCAAUCAUAAUCGGCGGCGAAAACUUUGGUUGCGGAUCGUCACGUGAACAUGCUCCGGUCUGUCUUGGAGCAGCUGGAGCUAAAGCCAUAGUUGCUGAGUCUUACGCAAGAAUCUUUUUCCGUAACUCGGUUGCUACAGGAGAGGUGUUUCCGCUCGAGUCAGAGGUUAGAGUCUGUGAGGAGUGUAAGACAGGAGAUACGGUGACGAUCGAGCUGAGUGAUAGUGGUGGUUUAUUGACUAAUCACACGACCGGUAAAAACUAUAAGCUGAAGUCGAUCGGUGAUGCUGGACCGGUUAUUGAUGCUGGUGGUAUUUUUGCUUAUGCGAGGAUGAUGGGAAUGAUUCCAUCAUUAGCUUAAUCCUCUUCCAUAACCAUGAUGGUGUUCUUGUAUGCAUAACUAUUUGAUGAAUAUUUGUGUUUUAGAGUUUUCUAUUUUCUUAACUUUUUUAUGUUUGUUUGAUUUGGUAUUGUUGUUGUUACCUAAAGAAUAAGAAAUCAAAAGCAAAAUAGACCGACAUGUUCCAAGAUAUGUGAAUAUGGUGAGUGUUUACUAAAUUAUGCGAAUAUUGUUGUUGCAACCUUAUUUUCUUCCAAGUUGGGCAUCAAUUUCCCUUUUUGGGCUUAGUCUUCUUUUGUUUGUAAAUUUAGUUUGUUUUAGUUUAUUGUUGGCCCAUUUCUGUAGGGUUUGGCCCGUUAAGUAAGUACCAUGUAAACCCAGAAAAUUUACAACGAAAACCCUUUAGCAAAAAAGUAAUAAUUCCGUUGGUAACUUUUCUCAUUGUAGUACAUGGCAUAUUUUACUUACUCUACUAACCAAUUUGGUUUGGUUAUUGAAAAUUUGGCGGUUUAAACAAACCGAUAUAAAAUAACCGUUAAGCGGUAAAAGAAAGGACAUCGCUAAACCUAAAUUUGCGACUCCUACUUUAUAACGCCGCUCUUCUUCUCCAUUGUUUGUAUACUCUGAAAAACAUGGCAACUACAGAGCUAAAACCCUCCGCCGUUAAAAACCCUAAAAGAAAUCGAAGACCAUCACAUGGUCCGAAGAAAGAUUUGAAGAAGAAGAAGACUAAGAUUACUAAGAAGACUAAGAAGUCGAAAGCUCCCACCUUUGAUAAGACCAUUGAGAAGAGUAGAAGUAACGACCAGAAAACCGACAACGACGAAGACGAGCAACUGUAUUCGGAACCGGUAUCGGCCUCUGAGCAGCUCAACUACUUUUUGAAUCAUCUUGACUCCGCCAUUGGUAUCAAGGUUUCUUCUUUAGAGCUUGAACCCAUUAAAGGUUCGUCCUUUGUUUUAUUCUAGCUUGGUAUUUAUGUACUUCUGUUUAAGUAUAUCUUAUUGGGUUUAGAUAUAAAAAAAUACGAGCUUUGAUUGUUCAUUCGACUUAUCAAUGCACAGAUUUCCCAAGUUCUGAUGAAGUUAAGAUUUGUCUGGUUUAAUUGCAGAUACGUGUAUAGUUGAGUUAUCUCAAGGGUUGGAUCAAGAUGUAAGCAACUUGGGAGAACAUAUAAAGCUUUCUUGUGGGUCUUCAUGGAGAGAGACUCUUUGUGAAGGAGAGUCACUUGAAAGGAAAGUUGAACCGGGAAACCCAUCUGUUCUUGUUAUUAGUUCCUCUGCUCUGAGAUCUUUGGAACUUCUAAGGUACAUUGUAAAUAUGUGUACUUGUAUCUUUGUUAUUGAUUGAUAUAAUGCUUGAUUGAAUAGAAAGUUGCUUAGACUGAGUCCUGUCUUAUGUAUGUAGGGGUUUGCAUUCAUUGACUAAGCAAUGUCCAGCAGUGAAGUUGUUCUCAAAGCAUUUGAAGGUUGAGGAACAGGUAGUGUUUUAUUCUUAUAAUGAUUUGUCUAUAGAGAACUGAACUUAAUUCUAAGCACAUAGAAAAGAGAGAACAAAUUGAAACUGGCAUUUUGAGUUAUUUCGUUAUUGAAUCUUGUUUUGGUUCUCUUGUGUGGAAUGCAUUGUUCUUGCUUCUCUGGAACUUGGGAUAUGAUGACAAAAAUACGAUAUCUCUAAGGCUAAUUGCUGUGCGGAUGAAAUGUAUUUGCACGUCAGUCUGAUCCCAUUAUGUAUAUAACAUUAGGAGUUGGUGCAUGCUCAUGUAGUUCGUUUCUUUCAUUUUUAGUUAAUGUUAAGGAUUUGGGAAGUGAUGAUAAGAUAUAUCAAUAUAUCAUAGGCACAUGCAAUGCUGAACGAUAUAUAUUUGCACGUCAGUCUGAUCCCUUUAUAUAUAUAUAACAUUAAGAGUUGGUGCAUACUCAUGUAGUUCAUUUCUUUCUUUUUUAGUUCAUGUUAAGGAUUUGGGAAGUGAUGAUAAGAUAUAUCAAUAUGUCAUAGGCACUUGCAAUGCUGAACAAUAUAUAUUUGCACGUCAGUCUGAUCCCUUUAUAUAUCCAUCAUUAAGCAUUUAUGCAUAUACUCAUGUUAUUCUUCCCUCUCUCUGUCUGUCUUUCAUGUUAAGAGUCUGGGAAAUGAUGAUAAGUAUAUCGAUAUUUCAGAGGCGUAUGCAAUGCUGAACGAACUAUUUGCACGUCAGUCUGAUUCCAGCUCUUGUUUUUGUUUCUUAAUUUGCAUAUAAGAAGACUAUAGAAUUAGAUUCUUCUGCUUUGGUCUAAAUAUGAAACUCUCAUUUAAAAAAGAAAUGGUUUCCGAAAAUCUUUAUAUAAAUUUCUCAAGCUCAUUGUUAUAUGACUCGAAUUAUUAACUCUAGUUCAUUGUGUUGCAGGUAUCUCUGUUGAAGAAACGGGUUAAUAUUGGGAGUGGCACACCAAACAGGUUAGUAAAUCUCAUCACAUCCUUUCAUUGUUUCCCUUUACUUGUAUCUCCAUAUCCUUCUUGCUCUAGAUCCUGACUGUCCUCUUGCUCUUCUAUGCAGGAUCAAAAAGCUAGUCGACAUAGAAGCUUUAGGGCUUUCGCGUUUAGAUAUGAUUGUGAUCGACAUGCACCCAGAUGUCAAGGGAUUUUCCUUAUUCACAUUGCCUCAAGUCAGGUUUGGUUUCUCAACUCUUGAACAAGCUGCCCCAUUAUCAUCAACGAGUGGAAUUUUUUCUGAUUUUUGUUCUGUUAUAUUUGCAGAGAUGAGUUUUGGGAUUUGUAUAAAAACUGCUUCCACCAGAGAGUCCUAGAAGGAAGACUUCGUAUCUGCAUGUAUGGUCCAAAGCCUUCUCCAAACCUAAAGAAGAAGAACAAGAAAUAACUGUUUAUUAAUUGUAUCAAAUUCUUAAAAUUAAAAAACAAAUCUAAUACUAAUCUCUUUUUUCAUCUCCAAGAUUUUACAAAGAAUUCUAACAUAACCCAGGAUAUGAGAUUUCUUUGUUCGAGCUGAUUAUCCCAUAUCUUUGUAAUGUUUCACAUAAAAAAAUAAUUGGACGUCGAAGACCACAAAUCAUCAUAACACUAUUUGCUGAGCUGAAAUGAAGUCAUAACACUACUUACUUUAGAUUCAGGGUUAGUGCUCAAUGAAAUGGAACUUACCAGCUUUUUCAUUAAACAGGUUAUAGAAAGAAAGUAGACAAAAGAUGCAAGAUGAAGUUGCUGGAAAUGCCUUUGAUGCAGUCCGGAACUAUUGUUUUCAUUUCCCUUGUAUAGUUGUGUAUGCAAUGUUUUAUUGUCUGUUUCAUCUUUCUUUUCACUUGUGACUGUAAUUAAAAAGUUGAGUGAAGGAAGCCCAAAAAGAGCAUGCACAAAGUAGAAAGGUAAGGUUUUAGAUUGAGUGUUAGUACCACUCUAGUUUUACUUUCUUUAGUGAAACUCAUUUACCAAAUAUUCACAAUGAUAUUUUUCAUAUAGAACUUGAGAUUCACUGAAAAAAAUCAUUCAAAGUCAAAUCAAUAGUAUAAAAGUAUAUUAUCUAUAUGUCCAUGAAUGCAGAAAAAGUGUGUUUGUCCAAUAGAUGGUGGGGAAGAAGAUCCCAUAAAUGCAGAAAAUAGUGGAAACACCACCCAAAUAGCUUCUAGAUGUUUGACUUUAGAACUUUCCAUUAAACAAGAGACAUUCAAAGUAAUGUCUUUUUAGUUUUGUGAAAGAUGAUGAUCCCAUUAUAACAUACUUUUAAGAUAACGUAGAUUUCUCAUUGUUUUGCUUUUUAGUGUACAGUACAUAGCUCUGUUUCAUUAGAGAUGUUUGUGAAGACCCCUAUGAUAUUUUUAGUGGGAUAAGUGGACCGAGUGAAAUGCUCACUCCAUUCAACAUAAAUGGUUAAUUAGCAAAAUUUUGAUGAAUACUUCAUUCCACCAUACUUUAUUCCACUAGCUAGACAUCUAUUUGCAUCCCAUCUGUUUUCAUCUCAUGAAGUGUUACACCAUUCAUUUCGACCAAAAAAAAGUGGUACACCAUUCUCCAUAUCUAUGCGUUCUGCUUCAGUCAUUUCUAAUUACAUAUCAUUGGCAAGAGUUUUAACAGUAGUAUGAUUCUCUUUUAAGUUUAUAGUAUGAUUGCAAAUAAUGAUAUAAGAUUCGCGAGACAAAUUCAGAUAAACAUACUUAACUUAGAUAAUGACAGAAACUUCUCAAGACUUUAAAAGAAAUUAAAACUUACGAACCUCAUAAAUUGAUCUAGAAUGUAGUACUGUAAACAUAGUAUAGAAACGUCUAAAUCUCUUAAUCAAUCACUUAACUAAUAACGGUUCCAAAUUAUAUUGAUUACAAUUUAAAAUUAGAUUAACUUUAUCCUUUUUUCAUAUUAUUAGGUAGCCUACUGGCAAACAAGAAACGAGGAAGUGUGUAAUAAUUCGAUGUUCUUAUAUUUAAAUUAAAUAAUCUUAAAAUAGUUAGAGGGUCCAUCUUAUAUAUAAAAAACAUUAUAGGUUUGUUGCCAAAGGAGAAAAACAAAACUCAAAUUAAUGUUUAUGUCAAUUUGAAGCACACGUAUUGCUUAGGUAUAUUAUGUGUCACAUUUUUUUUGGAUUAGCUCGAUAGGAUAGUGAUUGGUGGCUUCAAACUGCAGUGGCGAGGAGAGAAGUCGUUCAUGCCGGCUCUAAAGAGUUCUGUGAAAAGCCAAUCUAAGCCAACACAUAUCAUUUCCCAGUCAAUACUCAAUAGACAGUGAAUAAGAUAAUUGCUGCAAGCAUAUAUUAAAUGAUUUUGAGUAUUUGAAUAUAGUACAUUUCUAGAACAUGUAUGUAAUGUUACAAAAAUGAUAAUCAGAAAAUAUGUAAAAAAAAAGACUAAAAAAGCAAUUCGAUUCUUACUUUUUGUUUCUGAUAAAAUACAGUAAUUCUGAUGAUGGCCAAAUCAUUCCUCUCUGAUUUUUAUCGAAAGUGACAACUUUAUUCGCAAAUAUUCUUAUGACGUAAGCAUGAUUCAUUUAUUUGUUGCUAAAUGCGAACGCAUACCUUCCAAUUUAAUUCAUCGGAGAUACAGAUAUGUUUCUGUAACCCAAUUUUGAUGACGUCAAGGUUACAUAUGUGUCUAUGUAUGCAAAAGUGACACGUGUCAGAUCCCUAUGUCACACGUUGGCUAGUAGAAAGUGUCUAGAGAUAAUCUCUCUUAUUCGUUCACUUUUGAACUGGUCUUCGAUGUUAAUCCAUAUUUUAAAACUUUUAAACUUGGGGAUGAUCAGAAGAUUCAAUUCAUAUUGGCCAAUAAAUUAAUUUAUUUUAAAAGUUACGACAUUGUCUUAUUUAUUAGCUUAAAGUCUAGUUUACUUUUCACUCUCUUAUAGCUCAGAAACUUUUCACUUUAUCGUGAACUAUUGAAUCCAAAUUUGCAUAUUGAUCAAUCAAAGAAAGUAACCGAGUUAUUCAGUCUAGUCUAUAACCGAAUCAACAACAAUGAAAACUGAACUGAAAAUAAACUUAUAUAAUCUUGGUUUAGAAUUUUGCUUGUCAUACAAAAAUCAUAACAACUACAAGUUUUUACGUGAAACCAUAUUUAAACCUUCUUAAACCAAAACAUAAACCAUAGUUUCAGUAUCAAUAUAGUUUGGUUAUAAAAUUAUUCUCGUUUUUCUGUCAUUUGACUGAUUAAAUUAGUUGCAAGACAUAUCAGAAACAUAUAGAACAAAUGUUAGAUCAGAGUGACGUGAGCAUGACACAAUGCAUCCCGUGUUGAUUCCAAACAAUGCGGCGGUGUAAGCUUUUUGAAGCCCAUCAUGGCCCACAACCAAUUCAAAGACAGUCUUGAUCCUCUCUCUUCUAUAAAUAGACACACAGAAUCACAACACCAAAACACAUCCAAAAUUCGUUUAUUACCGAGAAAAGCAACAAAAAAAAAAAAGAGAGAAGAGAAGACGACUUUAAAGUAUAUGAGAGCUGCAAUAAACAGAGCAAAUUCACUUGGAGGUUUGUUUUCAUUUAGGUUUAUCAGAAACAUCAAAUCAAUGUCUUCUUCUACUUCCCAAGAUUUCGUAUCAAGACCUGUUAUCAAGAAAGUCUUCGCUAAGCUUCAGAAAGAAGGCGAUGGAGCCGUCGUUAGACGUGGCAUUUCCAGGUUCCUUGAUUAGUCUCUCUCUUUUUUUUUUCUCUUAGGAAAAUUAAAUGAUUUUUACAAGUCUAAGAAAUUUUCUGGGUUUUUUUUCCUAUGAAUUCAGGAGUGAGCAGAAGUUGUUAGAUCCUUUCUUGAUGCUAGAUGAAUUCUCCGGUAAAUUCUUAUUUAUUUAGCUAUCCAUUUAAAAAAAUAACCAUUUUUAUUUAUUAAUUAUCCAUUUAAAGAACAGAUAUUUAUUGAUGAUUUUCUAAUUUAUGUUUUUUUCUUUGGAGCAGUUUCGCCUCCAGCUGGCUUCCCUGAUCAUCCUCACAGAGGUCAAUAUCACCAUUACAUACAUAAAUGAAAUAAAAACCAUUUUCAAUUAUCUAAUGUCUCUCUAACAUUUUGUGGAAAUUAUGAUGAACAGGGUUUGAAACUGUUACAUACGUACUAGAGGUAAUUAAAAUACAUUUUUUUAAUUAUGAAUCUUCUAAAAAUUUUUAUAAAAUUAUCUUAUUCGAAUUUUUAAAUAUGUGGUUUAGGGAGGAAUCACUCACCAAGACUUCAAAGGUCACAAGGGUACAAUAUAUGCUGGUGAUGUUCAGGUAAGAACAGAAAAAAAAAAAACUGUUUAAUUACUGCAUAACCCAAAGAGCUUUAAAAAACCUAAAAAGUUACUGGACAUUUUUACAGUGGAUGACUGCAGGAAGAGGAAUCAUUCAUUCUGAAAUGCCUGAAGAAGAAGUCAACAAAGGUUUACAACUUUGGAUCAAUCUUUCCUCCAACGAGAAAAUGUAACUAAACCCACUUGCAAAUUCGACAUUUUGGACUCUUUUUAAACCGGAAGUUGACUCUUCAUUUUCAUUUCGACAGGAUAGAACCAAACUACCAAGAACUGUCGCAUUCAGACAUACCAAAAGCAGAACAAAACGGUGUUGAAGUCAAAGUCAUUGCAGGAGAAUCAAUGGGAAUUCAAUCACCUGUUUACACAAGAACACCUACUAUGUUCCUCGAUUUCACUCUCCAACCAGGAGCUCAAAUCCACCAGAAUGUUCCAGAAUCUUGGAACGCAUUUGCUUACAUUCUAGAGAGCGGUGAAGGCGGCGGCGUUUUCAGUUCCUCGAACUCUUCGCCUAUUCCAGCACACAGUGUUGUGGUGUUCGGACCAGGGAAUGAUGGUGUUAGCGUGUGGAACAAGUCAUCUUCAAAGCAAUUGAGGUUUGUGUUGAUUGCUGGAGAACCGAUUGGUGAACCGGUGGUUCAAUACGGUCCGUUCGUGAUGAAUACUCAAGCUGAGAUUGAUAUGACCAUUGAAGAUUAUCACUAUGGUAAGAAUGGCUUCGAAAUGGCCAAGUAUUGGAGGUCACAAUGAGAAAGAACUAAUAAUCACCACUACUUUAUUAUUUCCGGUUCUUUUCUUUCUAUUUUUAAUUCUGUGUUCUAAUUGGAUAAAUAAAAUGAAAAUAAAAAUGUUUUUUUUUUUGGUAUCUUUUGCUAAAUUUGUGGGUGGGAACCCAUUAAAUCCGAGGCUGACUAUUUUUCAAGUUCCAAACAUUGUCAUCAUUAUUAAGGAAGUCUUCCACUAUUUUAGUUUAAAUUACAAAUUGUUCAUACUAUAAUAUUAACAUAUGAAGAAAGCAUAAGACACUUUAUACGAUUCUUAGAAUAUCUCAAUGUGAUUAUGUGAAUAAGACAGACAAAACAAUUGUUAAAUAAUAAAUACCAAACGCGUAUUAACAUAAUGAAGUGACAUUAACAUGAUUGUUACUUUAAACAUCUUAUAUUAAAUUUGAUAGCGUAGUGAGGUUUAUGCAUUUUAAACGUAUUUGUUACUAUUAAUAAGUAUAAUUAUGUUAUCAUUUACAGACCAUUUUAUAACUAAGAUUAAAACGUAUUCGAGGCAGAUUGGAAUUUAUCUCAAAUAACUAUGUGAACUCUUUUAUCUAUAGGUUAUACAAUUAAAUAACAUCAAUUACAAUUUCUGUUAUUUUGGUUCGACAUUAUGAUUUAACUAUAGUGGCCGCAAUGAAUAUACUGACAACAUUGCUUCAACUGCCACAUCUAUUCGAAAUUAAUAACCAAAACUGAAAAUUGAAAUAAAUAUUCUUAUCGUUUUGUUUAGAUAAAUUUGCGGGCCAUCGAAUUAAAGAGCAGUUGGAAAAUAUCAAAAUUGAUUUAACAAUCAUAAGUUUACAAAAGUUACAAAUGAGAACAUAACUUAUACACUAACCAAACUUUUUCUGUAUGCGUAACAAAGAAACUCAAAACAUCUUUCUCUCUUCUUCUUUUACUUUAACUGAGAACUAUAAGAAUAUAUCUCUGCCUUUCUAUAAGUUUACCAGGAACACAAUUCAACCCGAAACCAAUCCUCAGGACAAAGAGAAACCGUUACAAAGAUGUUACCUCGAACAGCAAGAGAAUGUCUUUGUCCCUUCGUUCUCGUUCUUAACCAAGCUAACACGAUUCACAGUCAGCUCCUCUUUGUAAGAAUCAGAGUUCAAUUGCUUUCGACUAAUGUUGCUAUAGAUCUCCCGAAUAACCAUCUCGAAAGCCGUCUUUACAUUGGUCGAGUCCAACGCAGAGGUCUCCAUGAAAAACAAACCUUCAGACUCAGCAAGACUCUUGCCUUCCUCAACACUCACCGCUCUUAUGCUCUCGAGAUCACAUUUGUUCCCAAUAAGCAUUUUUGCUACUGUUGUAUCAGAAUGAGCUGCACCAAAGAUUCAUCAUUACUGUCAAACUAACUCUAAACUCAACCUAUCACAAUUUCAAGCUCAAUAGAGUAAAGAUGCAAACAUGAAUCAACUAAUCAUUGCAUAUCUUCAUCAUUCAGUUUCAUGAUAAUCAUAAACCUAAAGAAGUAGAUAAAUUUGACUUGACUUUGAAUCAAAGUCUUAAGAAGUCAUCAUAAAUCUUCAGAUCUAAAAAUUCUAACCAGCAGCAUCACUAUCGCUAUGAUUCAAUCCUAAUCCAAAUCCAAUCUCUACUCUAUUCAAAAUCAAAACUCAGAUUUACAGAUCUCACUUCAAAUUGAAUAAAUUCACUCAAAAAUCGGAGAUCGAAACACAUACUGUUGAGCUCAUCGAGCCAGCGACCGACGUUUUCGAAAGUGGAGCUACGAGUGAUAUCGUAGACGACGAGGGCUCCAACGGCGCCACGGUAAUAAGCAGAUGUAACGGCGCGGAAGCGUUCCUGACCGGCGGUAUCCCAAAUCUGAGCUUUGACCUCUUUGCCGUCGAUGAGCAUGCUCUGAGUCUGAAACUCGACGCCGAUAGUGGCUUUGGAAUUGGGAUUGAACUCGUUACGGGCGUAGCGAGUGAGGAGAUUGGAUUUGCCGACGGCGGAAUCACCGAUGAUAACAAUCUUGAAGAGGUACUCUUCGCCUCUCUCGUCGUCGUCUGACAUUUCUCCUUCUUCUUCUUCUCUGUAACGCCUUUGUUGGAGAAAGAGAGCUUUGUUUGGAUUUUAUUAGGUUGUUUGUGAGCGCAAUUAAUGAGUAUUAUUUUGCGCAUGAAAUUAAUUCCAUCAUAAUUAACCAAAAUUCAUAUUAUGAUUUAUUUCUAUUUUAAUUUAUUAAUUAUGUAUUUUUUUAUAAGAAUCUUUUCUAAAUUGAUGAAAUAAACUUCUUCAAAGAGUACACAUUUUUUUUGUGUGUGUGUGUAAUUUACAACUUCUAAAAUAAUUGGUAACCAAGUGGAUUUUCCAUAUGAGUUUUCAAAAGAAAAAAUAAAUUGGUCUGAGUACAUUUAUUUCCUUGAAAUAAUGAAUUUGGUUCAAUUAAGGUUUUAUUUUAUAUACAUUUGUUGAAAACAACUAUGAUCCUCCUGAUGUUUUUCUGAGAUUUUUAUUCACAGAUCAAAAUUCAAAACGUAGGAUUAUAUUCACACACACAAACGCGCAUCUCUUUCAAUCUCAAAUAAUGGGUUUUGCUCUAAGCUAAAAUUAACCAACUUUGAGGAAAACAGGAAAAAAAAAAUCGAUUGAUCGAAUUUUAAGUUAUAAUAAAGGUCAAGACUUUCAGAGAGUAACAAAACCAGCCUUCAUUAAUCCAUCAUCACUUUCUUUAGACCUCCAAAAUAACUCCUUUUUGCUAUGUUUCUUUCUGUCUUAGAAUUUGGUUCGUAAGUGAUCUCCUUUUCUUCUAUACUUUAUUGCAUCAUACUUGGAACAAUAUCAUUCAUCAUCGCUUCUUGCAUGCCCCACAAGUACAUCUCUCCAUUCCCUUUUCCAGUGACUGCACAUAUAUAAGAGAUAAUUUUAAAAAAUCAUAUUAAUUUCUCCAUAUGCAUACUUAGCUUGAAUAAGACAUUGAGACCUAGACAUGUGAAUAAACGGGACAUCAGAAUCUAACCGAUCAAACAUGACGUAGACCAAGUGUAUGAUAAAUAUAUAGUAUAUAAUGUAUAACCAUCUAUUAUGCAUGAUUCUUAACUUAGAUUCUUAGAAGAGUCUACUGUUAACGACUUAACGUAUUCUAUUACGAAAGUUUUUAACAAAAUUUAAGAUGCAUGUAUGAUCAGUUUUAUUUCAACUGGGUGAAAAUGAUAUAAAUGAACAUAACGAAAACAUUUUCAUGAGACCAACGCAAAAACCCUUUUGUUAAGAGAUCAUGAGAAUGUAAUAUUUUAAUUUCACGUGCAUGACAUUUUGAUAUGUCAUGAAAUUUUCUGGAAGAAAAAAAACACGUCCGAGUAAAUGGUUGAUCCAUGGUUAUGAUCAUAUUGGACAAUAACUAACCAUUAUAUUAAUAUAACUAUUUUCUAAAAUACUAAAAUUUGGCUUUAAGGUAACAUUUUCCCAACAUAGAAGGAAUAUGAUCACCCUUUGCUUCAAUUUGAGAAAAUGUCACUUUUGCAUAUAUAGAUUCAUUUUGUAUCUAAGGACGCACCUCUACUUGGUGCUGAAGACCUUUGAUAUGCUCAACAGCCAAAUCCAACAUAUCUGCGUAGCUCGUUUGCUGCCAAAUUUUUCAAACUUAUUAUAGAUAUGUAAAACCACACCAACAUUACAUUAAAAACAGAAAUAAUAUCACUUACCUUGUCCAUAUUAGGCACAAGUUCUUGUAGCUUCUUCAGCUUCCCGCUUAUCCUCGUUCUUCUCUCCUAUAUACCACAAACACGCAAACCAAAUCAUAUAUAAAACCUAAUUUUUACUCUUGUUUUCUUUGGUUUCAAAUGAAUUCACCUUUUAAGUUUGUAUCUAGACUUAUGCAAUAGUAAUCACCAUAAUAAUAGAAUAAACUAACCCUUUCAGCAAUGCUGCGUGGGUGAGUCGCGAAGCCGCGCUUGGCUCUAGCCCUACAAGGCACCGAGUCCUCUGGGAUGUUCAUCAAGUUCUCCAUUGUCGCCAUUUCCAGAGUUGUUUGCGGCAUGCUAUACUAAAAGUCAAAACCAUAUAUAUUGAGAUGAAAAUCAAUGUAUAACCACUCAAUGAAUAUCAUAACCAAACCAACAUCAGUGAGAAUGUUUACACAAAAAUCAUUUGGUAGCAAAGGGCUUGUGAAAAAUAUACAUAAAUUAAUCAUAACCCUUCUCUAAGCUAUUUAUAUCUAUUACACAACCACUCAACUCUGGCUUCUACACACAGAAAUUUGGCUAUUUGCACUUUAUUGGCAUUUAUUUCAACUUGGAAUUCUGUUGUGGAUAUGGAAUUUAAAUUGGGCUUGUAGAAUUCAUAUUGUAUAUGACGCGCACUAUAUAAUAACACUUGUUAGCAUACAACUUGUGGACCAUACAUAUAAUUAAACACACAAAUCAUUUAAUUGCCAAGGACUUGUGAAAAGUUAUAAACCUUCUCCAAGCAGUUUAUACACAUGAACCUGUGACAUAGACAUUGCUGUUGGCAAUAUUUCAACAUGGAAUUCUAUUGCUAACUUUAUGGAAGUUAAUUAAACUGAUAUAAAAUUUCAUACGAUAUGAUAAUAUACUUUCUUAGUAUCAAGUUGUCAACCUAUUAUAGAUCAAUCAUAAACCUUCUCCAAGCCUAUAGAAACUAAUAAUACACAAAACAACUAACAUUGGGGAUAUUCACUCUUUUCUCCCUUUACCUAGAAGAAUCCGAGAUUUAUUAACUUUGUUGUAUAAAAAAAUAAUCUAAAAGUAUUGAUACACAUACAUAAAUAACCUCAAAUUAAAGUUAUAGAAAAUACCUGAGUUUCUAAGGUGAAAAAGUCGGAGUUCUUGGACCGUUUUCCGGGUUGAUCAAUGGUGAAACUGAUAUGAGAAGACGAGUUGUCCCAAUUGUUAGUACGAUUAUUUCCAAAACUCAUACUACUUGAUGCGACACCGUUUCUAGCCGCUGCAGCCGCUUCAACCUCCGAGAUUCGCGGUAGAGAAUUAUGUUCUUGAUGGCUACUACUCCCACUAGAGAAUCUCAGCUCCGACUUCAACCUCGACGGCCCUUGCUCUCCUCCUCCGCCGUAGCCUCCGUUUGGCCGUCCUAGAGAAAAACCUGUUCCUUCUUCCAUCAACAAAUUUAGAUUGAAAGAGAAAGAAAGAAUGUAAUGUAGGUUUAUAACUUGUUAUCUCAGUAUUUUAAUAACCAGUUUGAUUUUAAAAAUCUUUAGUACAAAAUAAGAAGAGAAUGGGUCGUCUUCGAAACUCGAGGACCCCUUCCUUUGUCUCUAGUCUCUCUACUUAUAUAUAUUUUAAUUAUCGCCAAUUUGGUAGAGAAUAAGGAUUCCUGAAAAAGAAUCUUAGAAAUAUUCACCAUUCGAAUUCCAAUUACUAUCAUAUACUAUACAAAGUAGUAUGUAUAUAAUAAUGCAAGAGGGGGUAAAAUUUCUUGGGGCUCGCACAUGGAUUACAGGGAAUGUGAACCGGACAUAUGCAAUGAACCGAAGAUCAAAUUGCACAAAAAUAAUAUAAAUUAUUACUUGCAACUAACACUAUAGUAAUAAAGCUUAUUAUAUAUAAUGACAAGUAGGCGUAUCCAAAAAUCAAAAUAGUGACCAUGAUCAAGCCAUGUCAGCAGGGGUAGGCCAUCAUGGCUGCUUUGUCAGAAGAAAAAGAGCAAGUGGGAUGGAUAUAUUAUUUCCAAGUGGACUAUACUUUUAUUUCUUUUUGUAACGAUUCGUUUUUUAACAUAUACUUUUGGCAAGUGUGUGUUUUAUAUUGCAUUAUUAAAAUAAACAACUUGCCACUAUUGGAAAUACGUAUUUGAUUAUUCAUGCAUGUAUAUAUACGUGUGUACACAUGUAUACAUAUGACUAAGAUCAACCAUGGUUAAUCUCUUCAGACAUAAGCUGAAAGAGAAAGGUGUGUAUAAGAUCUAGAGAUAGAUUAAGUAUUGACUAAAGCAAAUAGAUAUAUUUUGAGAACUACAUGUGUAUUAGGUUUUCAAUUACGUGGUUGAUACUUAUUGGUCUUUAAUUAAAACAAAACAAAAGUCGUAUGGAGGGAAACCAAACAAAUUCCAACCUAUAGACAAAUUACUUAAGUCAUCGAAACAAAACCAAGACUACAUGGUUUAGAUUACAGUAAGUCAAAACUUACGUGCUACACCAAUUUACUUGCCGACUUUAUCGAUGUAAAAUAACAUAUUCAUUUUUUAAAAUGUUUUCGAAUACUAAUAUGGAAUUUUAAUUUUGUUUUUUUUUCUAUACCAAAUUUGUCUAACUUAUAGGAAACAUAUAUUUAUUAAAUGUUGUAACAAAUUUUUUAAUGUGCAAAAAAAGUUGAACACUUAAAAAAAAAAUUCUUGAUAUGUGUAUAAUUGUAUAAUAUGUAAAUUAUGUCGACUAGAUUCAGCACUAAUUAAAUCCAAUUAAUUAGGAGGAGAACUCUUUGGUGGGGUGAAAAAAAAGUUGGAAAAAUAAAGAAACGAAAAAGUUACCGUUGGGAUCAGUGGGAAGAUGUUGGUCGUAGAAUCCAGCCGGAGAGCUUCUGUGUCGGAACAAAGAAGACGAAGAAGAAGCGUUGGAAUCGAAUCCGAUGGAAGAUGGCUCGCCCGGUAAAUAAUGGCCGACGAGGUUGGGAUUCUGCUGAUGCUGCUGCUGCCGCUGCGGUGGCGGAUGAUGGUGGGUUUGAGGGCCAAGAGAGGAGAAAUCACGGGUAGCUCCAGCGGCUGAGUCAUAUUGAUUGGUGUCGGCAUCGCCGCCGCCGUCAUGAGCGGUGGACUUAGAGGAAUUAGGAGGGUACAUGAAACCGGAAAAGAAAAACCCUACAAAAGCUAAUCUGAUGCUUAGGAAAAAAUCUUGAGGAGAGGGUUUGAGAGAAAGAGACUUUGAGUAGUUAUUAAUUAAUACUAUAUGAUAAUGCAAGAGGGUUACUAAUUAUAGUUAGGACUGUUAAAUUAAAUUAAUUAAACUAAGGGUGACAAAUUAGAGCGAUGGCUUGUCCUUGUGCCUUGUGGGUGCUUGACCAAGAGAGAGUCUCCUACUCACGGUCCCGUCAACGCACGUGCACCUCACGUGGUUGACAGAUGGUGGCUUGACGUUAUUUGCGAAUUUUUCUUAUAACUUAGCAUCAUUUUUCUUAUAAGAUAUUUCGUUUUAUUAGGUUAAUCUUAAUUCUAUCAAAAAUUCAAUUUUAAAUGGAGUUAUUAUUAUGUAUGACGGUAUCGAUAUAAUGAUUCCGGGCAUAUUCAUUGAUAAACUUUACAGCCUAAAAUGCCAAUUUUAUAUUCUCAUAAGAGAGAAGCAAAUAUCAAAAUGAUGAUGGACUGUACAAAUGUUAGUGAAUACAUUUACAGAGAAUCGAAGCCUUCAUUAUUUUUUGGGUGAUGAAAUUAACAUGGAUAUUAGUUUAGUUAUCGUCAAGUGGGUCAUUAAGAUUCCAUUUUGUAUUAAUAUGGGAAUCAAAUUGUUAUUUAACUUUGUACUUUAUUAUGGAUACUUAUAGUUUAUUCUGAUUUUAAAAGUCUAUUUCAUUGUUCAUGUUUUCGACCACCCAUAUGAUCCAAGAGAAAGGCAGACCAUGACAAAACAUCCAUUUUACAUUUAUACGUUUAGUUGAUUUUAUAAUAAAAAUACACAUGCACUUUUUAUUAAAUUAAACCAUGGUGAACGUCCAUUGAUUAGGAUAUAGACCUUGUAUUUGUUUUUAAACAGUUGAUUUAGAUUCCACAUUUAUGUUUAAGAUGGGCAAAGAUCCCAUUUGUUCCAUGAUGAGGAUCUUUAUGUGACUUUGUUGCUGAUUACUAUAUGUCUAUAUCUAUACUAUUGUUUCAUCAUUUCUAGGGUUAUGUUGAGGAGUAUGAACAUAUUACUUUAACGUUUUAAAUUUUGCUAACGGAUCACGUAAGUCUGUUGCGACAAGACAUUACAAGCAAGACAUGUAAGUAUAUUAUUCUUACUUUUAGGUUGUAGAAUUUCUACUUCAUACAGAAAUAUUUAACUAGUUCUUUUGAUUGUAGGAUGGAGUUCUUCUUUUUGGGCGGAAACAAAUAGAUAUCGUAACUCCACUGCAAUAUUUGAUUUCAAUCUUCACCGCAUCUAUCUCUCCGUCAACUCCUCGUCUUUCUCCUUCCAUCGUUUUCAUCAAAUCUAAAGAAUCAAAAAUUGGGUACUUGAUUUCUUUUACUUGGGCCAUCGACUAAACUUUUAUUUGGGCUUUUAUGCCUGUAUUGGGCUAUUUAGCCGAUCAGGCCUUAAAAGCUUGUAACAUAUAUUUUCUUAUCCUUUUUCAAUAGAAUAACGGUUAUAUAUAUAUAUAAAAAAAAAAAGAGUACAGAGUUGGCCCAUUUGAAUCAAUAUGGACUAUCUAUUUUGAUUUUUCAGGUCCAUGUUCAAAUAUCUUUUACCCAUGUGUUUUUUUACCUGUGAAAUUUGCUAUUAUUAUUAUCAAUUUAAAUGAAACAGAGAAGACAACAAAUUAUAUCUUUUUUUGCCGGCCAACAAAUUUUUAUCUAGAGACUAGAGAGGCGAGUUAGUUGCCGAUCAAUCUAUUUAUUUCUAUCUUUCUCAAUUUUAGAAAAUUCGGUUGGUCAUGUAAUACGAUUUUCUGUCUCUUUUUGGCGAAAGCUGCAAAAGAAAGUGUGUCAAGAAUAACAUACUUACAUGUCUUGCUUGUAUACAUGUAAGUAUAUUAUUCUUACAAAAGACAUGUAAGUAUACAAGAAUAAACAUUCUCUAGUAUAUAAAAGAAUAACCAAACUAACCGGAUUGAAAAUUUUAGAUAAACUUUGUCUCUUCCUUGUAUAAAUUGGUUUUAACCUUUCUUAGCAAAAAAAUAAAUUGGUUAACCUAACUAUAUUUUAUUAUUUUCUUGAUUUUUAGUUGUUUAUGUAGAGUGUGUAUAUGCAACAACUAACUAAUUAAGAGAUAUCAUUGGUUAUUUGAUCGAAUCACUUUCACUUCAUGACAGCUAGGUGGUUCCAAGUACGAAAUUCCAAAUGUGGAUGUGUGCUCAGCGAUUUUCUUACGUAUACACAGUUAUUGAUUUUUUUUGCGUUGUGUAAAUAUAGGUAUUUAAUGACUAUAAAUUUUUGUAUGGUAUAUGCUUGAAAAAAAAUUUAAUAAAGGAUUUUUAAUAUGUUUUCAAGACCAAAAAUUAGUGAUGAUGCGAUGAGUGGAAAUUGACUCGUUACAUUAAUUUUGGUUUCGGUUUUAGUAUUUCAGUGCAGUUUUGAUUAGAAAAAUGCUCUGGUCAUGGCAACUAAAGGUUGUCUAACUUUCAACGGGGUUAACAACCCUACAUGAAUCAGACCGAUCAUGAUUUUCUUAAAACAGUUUAUGACUCAGUUAAAAUCAUACAAAAUUUCAAAUUUACCAACCACCAAUAUUAAACUUCUUAACAACAAAAAAAAACCUAUUAUGUAUUCUCAAGUUCUAUGCUUAAAAAUCUUGCUAUUUUAAAAAAUAAUAGACGAUAAAAAUGUGAGAAAUAGUUAGAAUAUACUGUAUUAAAACCACAAUAAAAGUGAAGUUAAUAGCUCACAUAAAUUAAAUGUCGUUGAUUUACUUUUUUUCAGUCAAAUUCCAAGAUAUAUCUUAAAGUAUUUACAUAAAGUAAGAAAUAUGCAAUAUUUUGUUCUUAUAGAUACAUAAGACUAAGAAAGCUACAACCACUAAUAUUAUUAAAAUCGCUUGUAAAUGAGAUUUGGGAAGUAUUUUACUUAGUCAUAAUUAAUAAAGCUUCUAUAACAUUGCACUAGAAGUCUAUAAAGAUAAUUAACUUUAGCCCUAGAAAGGAAGCCUCUAAUCUCUUUUUCACGCCAUUUUCGGGCAUAGCCACCACCAAGGAGAUAUUGGUACUCUUGUAAUUAAUAAGAAUUCUAACAUCUUUACACUAUAUACAAAAAAAAUAUGUCACUGAUUUUUGUUUCAGUUGCCUUUAUUUAUAGUUUUGGCUUGCAGCAGUUGAUACGAAAAUUAUGAUCACUACAAUAUGUGGUUAAUAUAUAGUCAUUGUGAUAUGAAUAGUGCGAUUGAAGUUGUUUUGCCAAAAUUCUUAUUACUCAACAAAUAAUUAAAAUAGUAAAAGACUCUAGAUUAUAUGAAAUGUAGAAGUUAGAACGUUCUAAAGAAUUUUAUAUAAAAAUUAUAGGUCCCUAAGUUAAUUUGUUUUUUAAAAUCAAAAUAAAAAAAGAGGUGUACGACAAAUGCAAACGAAUCUGGAAAUAAAUUAUCUUCUAAGUUCACGUUUUCCUCAACUUUCUGACAACUGUAAGAUGCUGUAUCUUUUUAUUAAUUGGAUAAUAAUAACCUAAUUAAGCUCUGUUAAUAUGUCAUUUUCCUAGUUUAAUUUUCAUCAAAUUGUUUUUUCGUAUUAGUUGACGGGUAAGCUUUCAAGUAAAACGAGACUCGUAAGCAGCAAGGAGUUGUAUUUUUUUUUUUUUCUUGGUUUGGCAACUUCUUUGCAUAUUUUGUCAUAAUAAUCGAAUAUGAGUUAAUAUACUUUGCUGACACUUAGACCCUUUUCCUUAUUUAUCAACGACUUGGACAUCAACUAUGAAGUAUGAACUAUAUCAAAAUAUUUUGCACGGAAUAUAUUAAUAAUUACUAAUUAGUCUCUUUUAGGUCUAAAUUUAAAUAUGAAUUACGUUGAUAGUUGAAACAGUAAGGAUUAUUUUUGAAAAAUCUAUUACAAACUGCUUAAAAAUAUUUAAUAAAAUCUCUUCGUUCUUUUGAGACAAAAAAUGGAAUGAAAAUCCAUUAAAUUCAAAACAAUUCAUAGAAUAGUCAACUCCAUGUGAUAACCUUGUGAAUUUGUUUUUACAGUUACAGUUGUGAACCUUUAGUUCUUAUUAAUUUACAGCUAUAUUUGUUUGUGAUAAAUUUACACCAGUAUAUUUGAAUCAUCAUCUUGUAAGUAUAUAAACAUAUUAAAGAUAUACACUUAGAAUUCGUAUCAUAAUAGUAUAUAGUGAUGCAGAACAUAUAUGCGGUUGUCUCUUUUAGUGGACAACUCAUUCGUUGUUGUGAUUAAUGGAUGAAUUAUUCGUGGUAAAUUUUGACAAUUUAACCACAUCAAUUGGUUAAUCUCCACAAAUUGUCGGUUAACUGAUCUUAAUAUAUUUAAUUGCAAAGAAUAUCAUCGAGUCGAUACCUAUAAGAGCAUCUUACUAGGAGCAAAUUCCAAGAUAGAGCAGCUUAGUUUAUAAUAAAGUAGUGCCACCUUAGCUUCUAUAUCAUUCAUUCAAUAGUCUAUUUAGAAUAGUAACAAAAAAAUGAAGUUUUUGUUAAAUAUUUCGAAAGAAAACAUAUAACAAAAUAAAUAAAACUAAAACAAAUAGAGACCAAAAGAUGAGACAUAUGAGGAAGGCUAAGUUAGUUGUUGGAGGCUGCUGUCCGGAUUACGCCGCCGUGGGGUCCUUUAGCCAACUGUUAAAAUUACCAAUGAGCGACUUUUAUGCUCGUAUUUUUUUUUAUUUUUUUUGGUUUGUGUUACUUAUGCAGUUAUGCUAGUUUCUUAAAAAUAAAAUAAAAAAAUGAAAAUUUUCUAAUAUUGUUUUCACUAUAAAACUUCUCUGAUAAUUUGUAGGAUUUAGGAUUAAACUGAUUUUUGGAAUUAAAAACCUAGUAAAAACUGAAAAUGAUUUUUUUUGUAUUUUUGUUUUUUUAUAAUUGAUGGCUGCUGAUUGCAAUGGGGAUGUUGGCAACAAAGUCAAGUAAACUAUGGAAGUAACCGGUUGAGCCGGUGGCAUCACGAAUGACUUGACCGAAACGUGGCCAUGUGUUGCUAUAGUUAAGCAAUGUGGAAGUUACUAUCAAAGUAUGUUUGAGCACAAUAAUUCCAACAUUUUGUUGUUUAUCGGUUGUCGAGUCAUAUUUGUUGCUACUUUCAUUCAUAAAAUACCAUUUAAUUUGCUAAUUGUAUUAUAAAAGUGUUGUCAAUGAAACUCUGGAGGUGUAUAAUUUCUGAUUUUUUUGGUCUUUCUUUUCUAUUUUUCUUAGUAGAAAAUAUAAUAUAAAACGUAUUUUUGUGUGGUUCAUUAGAAGCAUAAUAUCUGAGUUUGUACGAUUUUCUUUAAGUUUUUAGACCAAUUUACAUUUUAGUGGCACAUAUCUCCAGUCUCAGUGCUAUCUUUUAAUGUUUUUUUUCACCUUCCAAAUAAAAACUUUACUCUAAACAAAAUAUAGUCAACUACUGUUAGAUGAAUUCUCUUCCAUGUGAGUGGUAGCGUAUAGUAGAAAUAUGUUUGAAAUUAUAUGGUUAUACUAUUUUGUCGUUUCAUCGCAUUUUUAUAUACAAAAAUAAAAAUACUAUAUAUACAAAAUUACAAAUUUAACCCAAAUUAAAUAUACUACUGUAUAUAUCACUUAACAAAUCUCAAUAACUAUACUGUGGUAGCCAAUAUUAUUAUAUACAUAUAGAUACAUAAUAUCUUUGUAUAAAAUGUGACUAAGGUAAACCAACACAUCACAAAUUCUCAAUUAUAUAUAUUGUUAUCAGUUAAUCCGUCCGUACAUCUAUAAAUGUAAACAUCGGUCAAAUUUCAAGUUUGUUAUGAUAUUGAUUUAUUUUAUUCAAGCUUAGAAAGUGUCGGUGAAAAUUAUCUAACUUAUAAGAUAUACUUGUUGUCUUUGUUACUCUCUUUAGAAAAUUGAAAUCGUCUUAGUUGUGUUUUACAACUAGUCAAAAUAGCAUGUUAGUUGAAUUGUAACAAAUGAUAUUAUUAACUAAUUUAUCUAGUGGCAUUUUAAACACAGUCUAAUCAUUUAUGCGCUGGGCAUUAUUACGUGUACGUCCACGCAUAUAGUUUGGGAUCCUUUCGCGUUGAAACAAAAAAAAAUCGCAAAUCAAUAUAUCGACCACUGUUACUAAUUAACGGUUUAUAAUAAUUAACUUUAUUUGAAAGUUUAAUUAACAAUGUUACGGUGAGGUACUUAAUUUUUAUUUAUGUAGGAUUUGUACCUAGAAUAUUGUCAAGUGUCAUUCGUUGAUGAAGGAAGACACGAGGCAAUUUGACAGUUUCCGGGUCUUUUUAAAUAAUUUAUAAUUCGAUUAAUUAAUGGACACAAAAUAAUUAAGUUUCCAUUAAAAAGAUACAUAAACGCUUCAGAAAUCGUACAGACAAAAAAAAAAAAAACGUACAGACGAAUAUGCUUUUUGUGUACAAAUUAUGUGAAUGCAUAUACGUAUGUAUGAAUAUAUAUAUGUGUGUGUGGUUUUCAACAAAGCCAGCUACAAUAUUUAAAAUCUCUUGAAGGAUUUUAUGUAUAGUUAACGAAUUUUUAAAUUUUGUUUACGUCUCGCUAACUUUUCUUUAAAUACCUAUACUACUUGAAAGCUUUAACUAAUAGCAUAGCUAGCCUAGGUUCGCAAAUGUAUUCUAACUAAUACCAAUCCUAGUUUUAUUAGAUGCAAAAUGAAGGACUUAUCUUGUAGUUGUAUCAUAUUGUAGAGAGACUUAUACAGUAAUUCUAAACAAGAAACUCAAGCUAAUCAUUGCCUUUGAAAAACUAUACAAAACACUAUUUGACAUAUGAAUAAGAUAGUUUUAACUUUUCAAAUAGACCCUGAUUAACGACAGGAGAAUAUUACCUUACAUGUGGUGUUACUUUUUUUUUUUUUUUGUUAAAGAACAUGUGGUGUUACUUAAAGAAAUAUUUUUUUGUAAAGGGCGAUUCUUUUGUCGUUAAGGGGGGUUUCGAUCAUAGUUUUCGUUCUCGAAGAAAUCAACUUAUUGUAUUCAUUUUCCGAUUGUAAUGGGUUCCUUUUUCUUCUUCAUUAAAUUUAAACUUAUUUAAGUAAAUUUUAAAUAAUAUGAACGAGAGUCAUAUAGUUUAAUGAUUUUUGAUUAUAUAGUUUGUCGCAAUAUGAUUAUCCGUAAUAUUUCCGACAUGAUGUAUAUUGCUGACUAAAAAUUUAUAAAAUAAAAUCUGAUUUCUUAUAAACUUGUUCAAUUUCGUUUUAUAUCUUCUUCAUUUUUAAUCAAAUAUUUUUAUUUUUUAAUUAUUAUGUGAUUUUCCGUUUCAGUUUUAUAAAUUCUUAUAUUGAAAGAAAUUUUUUAACAAAGGAAGAUUUGGGUAUAUAUAUAUGUAAAGAAUUUGCAACUAGUGUUUUAUACACAUCGACAUAUAAAUGAUGUAUACAAAAUACUUAGGGUUGUUACAAGAAAUUCUAGAUAAACAUUACCAAACCCAAAAGAUACUUUUAAUUCAGUACUGCCCUUUAGAGUUCUUUCAUGGCACGCCAUUGACUAAUGACUAGGGAAUCCUAUAACAAUUUAAAGUAUUAGUUGGUCCUAUUUACUAAUGAAUAUUAUUAAAAGGUAUAGGGUAAACUAAUUCUCUGUAAAAUUCAAGAAAUCACAAACACAUAUGUGUUGAUAAUUAAUAAUACUAUCUUGGAUAAGAAAUUUCCACAUUAAUAUUCAUAUUUCGAUGAGAGAUAUCCUACAACAUUUGAGAGUUUGGCUCUCUAGCUAUGGGGUAUCUAAUUUAUAAUUGUUUUUUUUACAAAUUAUAGAUGUUUAAAGUAAUUUAAUAACUAAUAUUAUUUUCUGGGUACCAAAUUCCAACUUUAUUUUUUCGCUGAUGUGACCGUAAACUUACCAACGACGACUAUGGUACUUAUGAAACUUUUAACACAAUAGAUAUUACUUAUAAAGUUUUUGCUUAUAUACUAUUUUACAUGGACAUUAAUUGACUGAUACAUGUGACCAAUCUAAGUGCAGAGGAUUUAAACACUUUAUCAUUAGAAAAUGAUAAUAUUAUUUUGGUUUAGGUUAAAUUAGGGGAAUCCUUGGUGUAUCACAAUUUAUUUGUUGGAAAAGUGUUUAUUCGCACAUGUGCUUUCUUGCUAAUUCUUUUCAAGUUCUAGCCACCCUUUAACUUUAAUAAUUGAUAUUGCUAAAUUCUAAAAAUAUCAUAACAAUGCAGACACUUUAAAAAUUAAAGGAAACUAAUUUGUGAAAUUUCUUUUUCUUUUCACGUGUUUACAAAAAUCUCAUCCCAAAUAUUGAUCAAAUAUGCAACUUGUAUAAAACAAGAAUUAUUUGAACUAACUAUAUGAGCUCAAACUAAUUGACCAGUCUAUAUAUGACCUCUUUUCUUGUUUUAAAAAUUCCAGCAUGUAUAUGAUUUUUGUAAGGAGAAGUAUAUGAUUAUUGAUGGGCACUCAAAAUCUGAGGAAGUUUGAGAUACACAAGUGGUGGGAGCGAAAAUAAACUGAAGUACAAUUUUUCUGCACCUUCUUUGGGAAACAUAGAUAAUUAUACUUGUUUUUUAUUUUGAAAUAGUUAUACUUUUUGACGACAUAAAUUAUUCUUUGCAUGAUUUAAAAUUUCAACCUACAUUUAUGCUUGCAAUUUCGUAAUUACUUCCGCCUUUAUUGCUCAUCUUUAAUUCUGCCUUUUCUUGUCCUUAUAGACAUAAACAUUUGUGUGUUUGUGUGUGACAGCAGUAUUUCCCUAUCUGAAAAACAAGAAUAUUUUGAUUUAUUAGUAGUUUGAAUUAUGAAUUGCAAUUAAGUUAUGAUUAGGUAGUGAUAAUUAUUUCUCAUGGGGUAGUCCUUUUCUUCAAAUCUCUUGUGGCGAUGGUUCGUGUAUUAAAUCGUCAUGUGCCAUAAUACCAUUAACCUAGCUGUAAUAAUUUAAUGUACCGUUAAAAAGGUUACAGUUGCUCUGUCUAUAUGUUAUUACUCUUAGCCCCGUAUUAGCUCUCAAAGCGUACGACCACGCAAAAGCCUGCAAUGCCACUAAUUAAGUUUCAUUCCACAUGCCAUAUAUCUUCUUUUGUCACGAUUAUAUUUCCCAUAAUUGAGAUUUCACAUGCACUCUAUAGUUUUAUGUCGUCAUGAUAUACAUACAUUGGGAAAUUAUACGACCAAUACGAGUAAACGAAAUAAAAAAUGAAUGGUCAAUUAUAUGACACAAUUCAAAUUCUAAACGGAACUAAAUUUUAGCCUCUAUGGUUAUGUAUACUAUUAUUACAGUCGAUAAGUGUGAAGCGAGUCGACGCGGUAUAUCAUACACCGAUCGAGCCACAACACGCGACCUCUCAUUAUAUUAAAAUCACAUUUUUAUGCCACAAAUCAAAGUCGUUGUUGUUAAUUUGGUUUAAUUGAACUUUGUAUUAUAACUCGGUUUAGUCUUCAAAUACAGCUGUCUUCCUAUUGAUCGCUUUGUUAUCUUAUGUCAGCCAUUUUAAGACAUUUGACUUUACUCUCAUAAUCAUCCUUUUCUGUACAUUUAUUUGAUUCUUACGGUUCUAAUUACCUUUCUAUAUAUAUGAUAUGUUUUUGUCAAAAGCAUCAAGUGUUUUUGUAGUUUAUAUUUGUAGUUUCUAAGUUUAUGACUUUGGAAAAAUUAGGAACGUUCUGGCACCACAUUGUAAUAUGCAUGAUCGGAAAUUUUGUGGUCCUCUUGCCAUAAUUUUCGCGCACCAACAAGUGUUUUUAUAGAUUUCGUGUAAUCGUUUAUUUUUGAAAUAUUUUAUAGCUUUCUGUUGACUGUAUAUUUGUGAUUUAUACGCAAUUCUUUAACAUAUACAGAAACAGAAUGUCGGUAAAUAAAAAAGAAAUUAUAUAAUCGAAAAUGAUUGUGGUAGAUGUCAUCGUGAUUAACAUAGCUUAACUAGCAUCGAAUAGCAGCAUGUAAUUUAAAAAUGUUUCAUUGAAAUAUAUGUGUGAUUUUCAAUCAGAAUUAGUUUGGCUUUAUUUCAAUCUGGUGGUUGGAGAUUAGUUUUCUCACACAGUGGAAAUUUCCUGAUCUAUUAUCUUGUUUAUUAUAAAACUAAGAAAACCAAUAAUUGCCAGCUAAUAGCAAAAUUAAAAAAAAACUAUAGGAAAAAAAUAACGAAGAUAUAGAAUUAGUCCCUAAAGAACAAAGCCCACCUCCAACGACUACUUUUUUCACUAUAAAAACAACUCUUUUCCAUGCAGAAACACAAUCAAUCACUUCUUCUUCAUCUUUCCUCAAAAAUAAAAACAUUUUCUCCAAUUUGUUCUUCUUUAAUAAUUUGGAGAAAAAAAGUCUUAGCUAAGACUGAACAUUAUCCGGUGAAGAAUGGCGACUCCGGCAUGGAGUCAUGCCAAGGCUCAAUGGGUAGUCGCCAUGUUGGCGUUACUCGUUGGCUCGGCUAUGGCUACCGAACCUUAUUACUAUAGCUCUCCUCCACCACCGUAUGAGUAUAAAUCUCCACCUCCUCCGGUUAAAUCUCCUCCACCGCCUUAUGAAUAUAAAUCACCACCACCUCCGGUUAAGUCUCCUCCACCACCGUAUUACUAUCAUUCACCGCCGCCGCCAGUGAAAUCCCCUCCCCCUCCUUAUGUUUACAGCUCUCCUCCUCCUCCGGUGAAGUCCCCUCCUCCCCCAUACUACUACCAUUCACCGCCUCCUCCGGUGAAGUCUCCUCCUCCUCCAUACUACUACCAUUCACCACCUCCUCCGGUGAAAUCCCCACCACCACCAUAUUACUACCAUUCACCACCUCCUCCGGUGAAAUCCCCACCACCACCAUACUACUACCAUUCACCUCCUCCUCCUGUGAAAUCUCCUCCUCCUCCAUAUUAUUACCACUCCCCACCUCCUCCGGUGAAAUCCCCACCACCACCAUACCUUUACAGCUCUCCACCACCACCGGUAAAAUCUCCCCCACCUCCUGUCUACAUCUACGCUUCUCCCCCACCUCCCACACAUUACUAGGCUCAUCAAAUUCAACAAAAUUUCCCCAUUAUUCAAGUAAGUCCUAUACUUAUACCUUUACCUCAUAAUCCGUUUUAAUAAUUGUGCCCUAAAUAAAAUCGGAAUUUCUUCUUUCACAGGUUU
rnacentral:lncRNA from 1 species